rnacentral:lncRNA from 1 species
CUGAGGUUUUUGGACAUGCUCAAAGAAGGGAGUAAGCCUGUGAAGUUAUUAAAUGACAAGUCUAGAUAAACAAGUUGGGUGAGUUCAGACAUUGAACUAGGAAGUGUUCCAUUGAAUUGGCAGUGAGAUAGGUCAAUAGUCGACAGGUGCUUCAGAUUGGAGAUAGUAUUUGGAAGUGGUCCUGAGAAAUUUGUAUCGGCAAGAUUUAAGUACUUCAGAGAUGCAAGUGGUGAGAAAUCUGGCAAAGAACCAUUAAGAUUUUGAUUGUCUGAUAUGUCAAGGACCUUUAAUGUGUGGAUUUGGAAGAUAUCUUUUGGGAAUAAACCAUUCAAGCCACAACUACUGAUUUGUAAGGUUGUUAAAUUGGAGAAUUUCGCAAAGGAGUCUGGCACUAUGCUUGACAAUUUGUUGUUGUUCAAUUUUAGAACAGAGAGUGACUGAAGCCUAACUAGUGAGGAAUCAAUAGGUCCAGAGAGAUUGCAUGAUGACAUGCUCAGAACACGGAGUCCCCCCAAUGAAGACAAAGAACGGCCCCAUUCUUCUCCGCUGGCAGAUAUUGCUACACCAUCUAAAUACAACUUUGUGAUAUCUGUGAGGUUUCGAAUAAACAUUGCUAUAUUUGGCUGCUCAAGUUUUAGGACGUGAUGUGAAGUAAAUGAAGACGACAAAUCAAGAGAGACCAACCUUUUGAGGUGAGAAAUUUCCUUAGGGAUCUGUCCCUUAAAUCCAGCAUUGGACAAGUUCAGAUACAUCAAAUUUUGUAGCUUAUCAAAGUCUUGAGGAAUCACAGAACGAAAAUCAUUAAAAGCCAAAUUCAGACUCUGCAGAUAUUGCAAGCUGAAAAGAGCACUUGAAUUGUCAAGUCCUCCGGAAAUAGACUCAUGACUAAGAUCAAGGGCUGUAACAUGUCCAUCUUUGCAUGUUACCCCAUGCCAUUGACAACAAUCAUCAUCACCUUGGUUCCAAUGAAAUAGCUUUGAGGAGUUUGUAAGGUUGAAAGUGAGGUUGUUUUUCAAAUGGAGCAACAAGGAACGUUCAUGGACCAAAAAAUUAUUAGAACUGGAAUUGAUUAUUCUGAAUGGUAUAAAGAAAAUCCAAAGGAUUAUGUGUACUCUCAUAGUGAAUUAUGGUAUAAAGAAAAUGUAAAGAAGAGGCUUUUUGUGAAUAAAGUAUAUAUUUCUCCCUUUAUAUAGACUACAAAAAUUGGACUGUUGAUUAAAUCAACCCAACCUGGUAUGAUCCUCGUGCGUUGGGAAACUUUCUUUUAUAGGUAUCACAAAAAGAUAAUAAAACUACAUGUAUUCUUAUCCAACGAUAGUAGAGUCUAGCUGAAAGAGUCAAUCCUCCAUUUAAAAAGAUGGUCACAACUUCUUUUAUAUGGAUCAUGUUAAGGGUAUUUUGAAGGAUUUAAAAAACAAAAUAAUUGAUAAGGUUUAUGCAAAAAAAAGUUACUUUUUAAAAUUAAAAAAUGUUAAAUUCACAAUUUUUAAAAUGAAAGUUCCUCUUCAGACUUCUUAAAGAGUGUCCUAAAGACACUUGUUAGCCUUUCCGUUUUUAUAUUAAUGGUGGUAACAACUUUUUUCGACUGCACAAGAAUGCAUAAUAGUUUUUUUUUUCUUUUUUUCAUUUAGAGGAGAAUGCAUUAUACUUUUUGUAUAUAUUAACGUUAACACGACUUUGGAAUUUGACUCAAGAAUGAGUUUUUGUGCAUGGUGACAAUCAUGACACGAUUUUGGAAUCGUGAUACGAUUUUGAGACAUAAUGUAGAUGUAACUACCGGUAAAACAUCGUGGUGCGGUGGUAAAAAUCAUGAAACCAUUUUGGGAUAAGGUAGGAGUAUUGUACUAUGUACAAGCUUUAUCAUGGCACGACUCUGGGCAAUCGUGACACGAUUUUGACAGGUUUUGGACACUAUAUAUAAGCAUUCAUUGUUAUUUUUGAAGGUAAAGCUUCAAGAGAGAGAGAAACUUGGAAAAUUAAAUGAGGUAACUUCAUGAUUGAGUGUCUUUGGUGUUCUUUUGGGUUGGAAACAUUUGUAAACACCUUGGAUGAUUGAAAAUCUUUGAGUGUCUUGUUCACGUACGGAAAGAGAUUAAAAAAUGGGUAGAAAUUAGGUUUGUUCUUUGUGAACUUGUCGAAGCUAAUUCCUUGUAGCUCGUUUGUAUCUCUUUGUAAAGAACUCGUUGAUAAUGAAGCGGAGAGAUCUCUCUCCCCAGAGUAGGUCAUUGUUGGACUGAAUUGGGUAAACAUUUAUUGGUGUGUUUGUUUCUCUUCUCUCGUUAUCUUUUGUUUGUAGUCUUGUGUUUUUCACUUGAUUCCUGUAUGAGAUCUAGGUUUGUUAUUGUUGUUGUUACGUGAUGUUAUUUUAUAUUGGUUACUACUUUCCUUUACUUCACACACCUAAGUUUAUUGGUGUGAGAUUUGAGUCCGAAUUCACAACAAUUGGCCCCCGCCGUGGGGCAAAGGCGUGAAUUGGUAAGGUGAGUAUCAUGGGUUCAAAGUGGGAUAUCGAGAAAUUUAUCGGAGACAAUGAAUUUGGAUUAUGGAAAUUAAAGAUGCAAGCCGUUUUGAUACAACAAAAGUGUGAGAAAUCUUUGAAGGAUGAGGGUGCGUUGUCGGUCACCAUGUCAUAAGUGGAGAAGACUGAGAUGGUGGACAAGGAAAAUGAGGGAUAUUGUCUUGUGCCUCGGGGAUAAAGUUUUGAGAGAUGUCAGGAUGGAACCUACUGCGACAUCGAUGUGAUCAAUUGAAAUUCUUAAAACAACAACUCUACUCAUUUAAGAAGGUGGAGUCAAAUGCCGUCAUGGACCAACUUAUAGAGUUCAACAAAUUUUUUGAUGAUUGGGAGAACAUUACAAGGAACAUGGAAUUCCUCUCAAACUAAGCAAUUGAUUCCUUCUAAACCUAAUUCAUUUAAAUUCAACUAGUGUUUUUUUUUCUUUCAUAUAUUCAUCUUUGGCUUCCGCAAUUAGUUAUUAUAAAAAACCCAAUUAAGUAAGAACUAACAAAAUUAGGAACAAAAAAAAUGGGAUAAAACUUCAGUUUCAUAAAAAGAUACAAAGUUUUUGUGUAAUAUUUUUUUAUUGUUAUGAAUAAUUGACUUAGUGGAUGUCCAUCCUUAGUCUUCCACCUUCCUAUAAUCUCCAUUAGCGAGUGAAUAGUUAGCGGACCUUAAUUAUUUUGAUCGCCACUUACUCAUUUUGUGUCCUAUAAAUAGGACUCAUAUUUUAUUGAAAAAGACACACUUGUGAAUAGAAUAAUAUACAAAGCUUUCAUCAUGAUCUUCUUCGAUCUUUAUGCUUUUAGUUUAUUUUAUAACAUUUAUUAAAUUUUACCCUCAGCUUAAAACUUUUUUAUUUCCAUUUUAUCUUUUCUUAUCAAUAAAAUAACUCAUGUUUUUGAAAGAUCAGAUAAAAUUUUACAACUUCUAUUAUUUGUAAUUGAUAAAAACGGAAAGCCUGUUUGGAUGAUUGAAGUUAAUAAUUUUUCCUUGACAAGAAAAUUAAUAAUAUUUAAAUAGUGAGAAUUAUAUGAAAAGAUAAAUAAUAUGAGAUGAAAGAAUAAAAAAAAUUUAUAUUUUUUCAAGUGUACUUCACACGUUUAAAACUAAAGUCAUUCAAUCUUUUAAACUGGCAUUAUUUUUGUUGAAUGUAACCAAGAAAAAGAAUUAUUUUUGUUGAAUAGACAACUAAAGUCAAUUGACAGUUUAAGUGGUGGAAAACAUUUGAAGACAUUAAAGAUCUUACCUUAAUUUGAAAACUUUAAGGUCAAUCUUUUAAAAAUUUUAUCUUAAUUUGAGUGGUACAGGAACUAAGUCAAAGGUUGCUUUUGAGUGGUCACAUUUGAAGACUUUAAAGUUCUUACCUUAAUUUCCACGGUGUGGGAAAGACCUAGAAUAUUGUGUUUUCACCUAAACAUUAAGAAAUAGCAAAAAAUAUGAAUAAAAUGAAUAACUACCAUCAAAACAUAAAAACCUCUAAACAUGGCAAUAAAACGGUAGUUCCAUAAACAUUUAUUUUGAAUGAGUGGCUCCAUAAACUUGAAAACUUAGUUUCGUAACAUUUACUCAUGACUAACACAUUGAUAAGGACAUGUAGGACAGUCAAUAAGACUUUUUUUCAAGAACCAAUUAACAAUCAAGAAGAUUAAACUGCGUACAGAAUUGGGUUGGAUGAUCUAAUAUUCAAUAGUUAAGCUUGUUGCAGCAUGCAGUCUAUAUAAUAGGAGAAAAAAGCUACGUUAUUAACAUACCAUAACUUCAUAAUUCACUAUGAAAGCACACAUAAUCUUUUGGCUUUUCUUUAUACCAUUCUGCUUAAUAAAUUCCAGCUCUCACAAUUUUGUUGUGAAAGGCUACUGUCUUGGCCAUCAACGUUCGUUGUUGCUCCAAUUGAAAAACAACCUUAUAUUCAACCCCGAAAAAUCUUCAAAACUAGUGCAUUGGAAUCAAAGUGAAUAUGAUUGUUGCAAAUGGCAUGGGGUAACAUGCAAAGAUGGACAUGUUACAGCCCUUGAUCUUAGUCAAGAGUCUAUUUCCGGAGGACUUAAUGAUUCAAGUGCUAUUUUCAGCCUGCAAUAUCUGCAGAGUCUGAAUUUGGCAUUUAAUGACUUUCAUUCUGUGAUUCCUAAAGACUUGCAUAAGCUGAAAAAUUUGAGGUAUCUCAACUUUUCUGAUGCUGGCUUUGAGGGUCAAGUCCCGAAAGAAAUUUCUCACCUUACAAGGUUGGUUACUCUUGAUUUGUCUUCUUUAAUUACUUCACAUCAGAACAUAAAACUUGAGAAUCCAAAUAUAGAGACUCUUUUGAAAAACCUCACAGAUAUCACAGAAUUGUAUCUAGAUGGUGUAGCAAUAUCUGCCAGCGGAGAAAAAUGGGUUCGUGCUUUAUCUUCACUGAAGGGUCUUCGUGUUUUGAGCAUGUCAUCAUGCAAUCUCUCUGGACCUUUUGAUUCUUCACUAUCCAAGCUUCAAUCACUCUAUUUUCUAAAAUUGAACCACAAUAAUUUGUCAAGCAUACUGCCAGAUUCCUUUGCAAAUUUCUCCAAUUUAACCAUCCUACAACUAAGUAGUUGUGGCUUGAAUGGUUUUUCCCCAAAACAUAUCUUUCAAUUACAAACAUUAAAGUUUCUUGACAUAUCAGAUAAUCAAUAUCUCCAUGGUUCUUUACCAGACUUUCCACCGCUUGCAGCUCUUCAAUACUUGAAUCUAAGCCAUACAAAUUUCUCAGGAUCGCUUCCAAAUUCUUUUUCCAAUCUGAAGCAUUUGUCUACUAUUGAUCUAUCUUACUGUCAAUUCAAUGGAACACUUCCUAGAUCAAUGUCAAAACUCACCCAACUUCUUUAUCUCGAUCUAUCUUCGAAUAAUCUAACAGGUCCACUCCCUUCUUUCAAUAUGUCCAAAAACCUCACAUAUAUAUCUCUUUUUCUCAAUCAUUUAAGUGGGAAUUUACCAUCUGAUCAUUUCGAGGGCCUCAUUAAUCUUGUAAGCGUCAAUUUAGGGUUCAAUUCUUUCAACGGAAAUGUUCCCUCAUCUGUGCUUAAGCUCCCAUAUUUGCGAGAAUUGAAGCUUCCCUAUAAUCAACUUAAUGGUACUUUGGGUGAAUUCGAUAGUACAUACUCAUCAGUAUUGGAGAUACUUGAUUUGACCAGUAAUAAUUUGCAAGGACCUAUUCCUUUGUCUGUCUUUAACAUUAAAACACUUCGUUUCAUUCAACUUUCGUACAACAAGUUUAAUGGCACGAUAUACUUGGAUAUCAUUAGAAGGUUAAGAAAUUUAACUAUACUAGGGCUCUCACAUAACAACCUUUAUGUUGAUGUCAACAUCAAACUUGAUCAUGACUUGUUGCCCUUUCCUAAGAUGAGAAUUCUAAUGUUGGAUUCUUGCAAGCUGAGAGAAAUCCCUAGUUUCUUGAGAAACCAGUCCACGUUAUUAGCUCUUCAAAUAUCUGAGAACAAGAUUGAAGGACUAAUACCCAAUUGGAUUUGGCAACUUGAUUCUCUCAUUACCUUGAAUCUUUCCCAUAACUAUUUGAUAGGUAUGGAGAGAAGUGUUUCAAAUUUCAGUUCUAACCUUUUAAUAGGUGAUUUUAGUUAUAACCAACUCCAAGGGCCUAUUUCUUUCAUUCCCGGUUACGCAAUAUAUUUGGACUACUCAAGCAAUAGAUUAAACUCUUUCAUUCCGCCAGACAUUGGAAACCACAUCCCUUACAUACGUUUGUUGUUUCUUUCAAACAACAAUUUUCAGGGACAGAUCCAUGAAUCUUUUUGUAAUGCAUCUACUCUAAACUUGCUAGAUCUUUCCCACAAUAACUUUGUUGGGACGAUUCCCAAGUGUUUCGCAGCACUGAGUAGUAGUCUCAAGAUGUUGAAUUUUGGUGGAAACAAGCUCCGAGGUCAUAUUCCUACUACUAUGUUUCAGAACUCAUGUGCACUAAGGCUUUUGAAUCUAAAUGACAAUCUUUUAGACAGUAGUGUACCAAAAUCAUUGGUCAAUUGCAAAGAACUAGAAGUCCUUAACCUUGGAAAGAAUUCAUUAACCGGAAAAUUUCCAUGUUUUUUGAGCAAAAUUUCCUCCCUAAGAGUAAUGGUUUUAAGGUCAAAUAAGUUCCAUGGGUCUAUUAAAUGCUCUAAUAGCUUUGGUGAUUGGAAGAUGCUUCAUAUCGCUGAUCUAGCCUCCAAUAACUUCGGUGGAACAUUAUCACCUGCACUCUUAAAUAGUUGGAAAGCAAUGAUGCGCGAUGAGGACGAGCUUGGGCCAGAAUUCGGCCAUUUGUUUUUUGAUAUUGUUGAUAUCUUUCAUCCUAUGCGUUUCAAGGAUGUACUACAAAAUUUGAACAAAGUUCUUGCUUUGAAAGUGGCUAAACUUGUUGCAAACAUGUCUCACUCUAUUCUUGACCAGGCAUAUCUUGAUGGUGGUUCGAUUUUGGCAAAUCUUGUUCGUUAUCAGGAUUCAAUUAUUAUUGUCAACAAGGGUCAACAGAUGAACCUGGUAAAAAUUCAAAGUGCCUUCACUUAUAUAGAUAUGUCAAACAACUAUUUGGAGGGGCCAAUACCUUAUGAGAUAACGCAAUUGAAAGCAUUGAAUGCUCUAAACUUGUCACAUAAUGCAUUAUCGAGCCAUAUACCAUCAUCGGUGGGGAAUUUGAAGAAUCUUGAAUCUUUGGACUUGUCAAACAACUCCUUAAAUGGAAAGAUUCCUCAAGAGCUUUCAAGUAUAUAUUUCCUUGAAUAUAUGAACCUCUCGUUCAAUCACCUUGUGGGACGAAUUCCGUUGGGUACUCAAAUACAAUCAUUUGAUACAGAUUCCUUCAAAGGGAACGAAAGGUUAUGUGGACCUCCAUUGACCAACAAUUGCAAUGAUGAUGGAGUGCAAGGGCAACCGCCACCAGCAUCUGAAUUAUCUCAUUCUCAUAAUGACAGUUCAAUCGAUUGGAAUUUCUUAAGUUUGGAGUUGGGAUUUAUUUUUGGCUUUGGAAUUUUCAUCCUCCCCCUUAUUUGCUUGAUGAAAUGGAGGUUGUGGUAUUCCAAACAUGCAGAUGAAAUGCUUUACAGGUUCAUCCCCCAGCUAGAUUUUGUGUAUGAACAGCAUGAAGGGAAGAGGUAUAGAACUCUGAGGUGGAGGUACUGAUUGUUUACAGGCAGUAGUGUUAAAAUAAGGAUUCACUAGAUUGUAUCCAUUAAAGUAUAGUUAUAAAGAAAAUAAUUAAAAUGGUAUUGAAAUGUAUAUCCUUCAGUUUAAAUUUUGUUGAGUUGUACUUGUAAAUCAGUUAUGUCAUUAUUCACACACAUGUUUUUGUGUAUAUUUAGUAUUACUAUAUUGAGAUUCGCAUAUACUCCGCACGCUAUUUGGUUGGUUGAUUGACUGUAUCUUUUGUUUGUAUUUCAAAAUUUGACAACAUAAUCUAGUAGAAUUAGAAUGUUAUUCUGUGUAUUUGUGUAGUUUUGACAUAGUUUAUUCAAAUUGUGCAACAAAAAAACAUGACAAAAUUGGAAACAUAAUGGACAUCAAGUAAAUCACUAAACUGAAUAUAUUCAAAGAGACUCGUACUGUAUACCUAAGUUUCAUAAAAGAGGAAAUGAGUGGAAAUGUAUACCUUAUUUGCAGGGAAAUUAGAAUUCCUCUUAAAGUAGGCACUUUCCUUCAUCUAAACCAAGUUUGUCAAAAAUUUGCUAGUUUUCGCAUAAGUUGAUCUUGUGCUUCUGUACAACAAAAUAACAAAUUGAAUGAUAAAUGUUAGUUGUUAUUUUCUUAUCACUCUUGGUACUUCAAAAGUUAGUUAUAAUAAACACAAGACUAAGUAACCACAAACCAAAAGUUGAAAAUUAAAAAGCAAAAACCUCUUUUAUAUGACUACUUUGCUUCUCAGAUUACUGUUGUUAAGUCUAAGAAAUCUGCAAGUUACGUGAUAACUCACCACUGCAGUUAGUUUGCUAGCUAUUUUCAUAAUAAUGACUCUGUAUUAGAGUAUAUGCUAGUUUCUCUGCUGUUAUUUCAGUUUUAUAUAUACCAGUUAUAUAUGUACUUCAAAAGUUAGUUUAACAAAAUAUUAUCAUUUAGUUUCAUCUUUCACUCUGCAUUUUGUCCUUAUCAUUGAACUUUCACCACAUUAUCUAUUGAAAAAUGAUGGGUGAAUGCUUUUGUGCAUUAUUCCUCAGCUUAAGGCUGGUUUUUAUAGUGAGGAUGGAAUUAAUUCUCUCCUUGAGUUCAGCUUAAGGUCUAAUAAACUCCAUGGUUCUAUUGGGUGCCCAAAUAACACUGGUGAUUGGGAGAUGCUUCAUAUUGUAGAUAUAGCCUCCAAUAAUUUGAGCGGCACAAUAUCAGGUACAUUGUUAAAAAGUUGGAAGGCAAUGAUGCGUGAUGGAGGUGUGCUUGGGCCAGAACUUGGUCAUUUGUAUUUUGAAAUUGUCGAUAACUUCCAUCCUAUGAGUUUCCAGGCUAUAUUACCACAUUUGAACAAAUAUCUUGCACUGAAAUUGCUUAAACUUGUUGCGAACAUUUCUCUCUCUAUCGUUGAUCAAGGUUUUGCUGAUAUUAACUCAUUGGAUCUUGAUCAUUAUCAAGACUCAAUUAUUGUUGUCAACAAAGGUAGACAAAUGAAGUUUGUCAAAAUUGAAAUGGCAUUCACUUAUGUGGAUAUAUCAAACAACUAUUUGGAGGGGCCAAUACCUGAUGAGCUAAUGGAAUUGGAAGUAUUGAAUGCUCUGAACUUAUCACAUAAUGCUUUUAUGGGUCAUAUAUCGUCAUCUGUGGGAAAUUUGAAGAAUCUUGAGUCUAUAGACUUUUCAAACAAUUUCUUCAAUGGAGAGAUUCCUCAAGAGCUUUCUAGUUUAUCUUAUAUGGGAUAUCUAAAUCUCUCGUUCAAUCACCUAGUGGGGCGAAUUCCAUUAGGUACUCAAGUCCAAACCUUUGAUGCAGAUUCUUUUGAAGGGAAUGAAGGAUUAUGUGGACCUCCACUGACCAGCAAUUGCAGCGAUGAUGGAAUCCAGGGGCUGCCACCACAAGCAUCCGAAUCAUCUCAUUCUCAUACCGAGAGUUCAAUUGAUUGGAAUUUCUUAAGUGUGGAGUUGGGAUUUAUUUUCGGCUUUGGAGUUUUCAUUCUUCCUAUUAUUUUAUGGGGAAAAUGGAGGUUGUGGUAUUCCAAACAUGUAGAUGAAAUUCUUUACAAGUUCAUAUCCCGACUUGAUUUUGUGUAUGAACAGCAUGAAGGGAAGAGGUACAGAACUUUAAGGUGGAGAUACUGAUUGCAUAACUCUUGGGUUCAAUACUAUAGCUCCAACAAUUUGCACUCCUCUAUUAUGUGUGUUUGUAUUUAAUUUGCUCGUCUUUGCCAGCAGUAUUUAGUUUCAAAAUAAGAAUUCACUAUAUUUGUGUCCAUUAGUCAGGUAGAGCCUUGUUUUAUAACAAAUAAUAAUUAAAUAGUUUUAAAAUGUUUAUAUCAUAUGGUGUUUAGCGGUGUUUUUGGUAAACAAUAAGGGCUGAUUUUGAUUAUUACAAGCAGGAUAUCAAACUAGAAAUCCUAGUACAUUGAGUGCAUUGUUUUUCAAGAAAAAAGAGAAAAGAGUUUGUGUUCAAGUUCAUAGGUUGCUUUACUAACAAGACGAGAUUGUAUGACAUCUUUCGACAGAAAAAGGUUUUUAAAAGCAGUGAAUGCAAAGUAAAGGCAGAAAGUUAAAAUUGCAUAAACUUAAAAUAAAAUAAAAAAAGAUAAAUUGUAUUGCAUUAAAAAUAAAGGUAGUUCGACAAAUCAUUUACAUACAUUAUGUAUGACUCUUUUCUCUUGUCACGACCCAAAAUCUAAAAUCGUGACCGGCGCACGAACUAGAACAUCCUAGUCCGGCAAGCCUAUUGACGACACUUGACAAACUAUAAUUUAAACAAUUUUCAAAUUUGACUUUCAUAAAAAAAAAUAUUCACUGAAAUUUCGACAGAGCUUCUACUGUAUUUUUAACAUUUCCAAGAUUUGAAUCUUGUUUUAAGAAAAUUUGUUUCAUCAGCCCGUAUCUCAAAUAACUUUUUGUUCAUAUUUGUACAACUCAGAAUAAAACAUCAUAGGCUUCAAGUAGCUGCAGAUACAUCAAUUGACAUUAAAAUAUAAAAAGGAGCCAACCAAGGAGGCCUACCAAAAGUGACACUGCGAAAACUUUGAAUAUGCUAGCUAGCAGCUUUCUUCAUAGCUACUUGGAAAUCUGAAGGAAACAAAAUAGAAAGUAAAAGAGUAAGUCAUAAGGACUUAGUGAAAGACAACAACCACUACCCACUAGAAGAGAAACACACAAGGACACGAUUAUUUAGUUUUCUCAAAUCAAAUUUUAAAUAUAUAACAAGCUCACACUAAAGUGUGCCAUGAAAACUCAUAAAACUUUAUAAAUUUAUUAAACCAAACAAGACUAUAUCAAAAAUCCAUCAAAAGUGAAACCAAAUCUACCACUUUAAAGCAAAUAUAGAAAUAGAGUAUAAUGAGAAGGAAUGAAAAUAAUCAAAUCCAAAUAGAAUAUAAAAAAAAAAAAAAUCGAAUUUAAUGAAAUGGAAUCAAAAUAAUCACUUCAAAGAAAAUAUAAAAUUGUAUUCAAUUUCAUAAUACCAAAAUAAUCAACUUUAAAUAAAGUAUAGAAAUCCAACUUUUGUAAAAAUAAAUAAAUGGGUGAAUCGAGAACUAUCUCCAUCUUGUUGAUAGUCCUCUCCUCCUAAUGGUGGCCUUUCCAUAGGGGCGGCUCCAUCUAACGGAUCACUCUUUUCUCUCGACUCAAAACAAAAUGUACAACAUUUUUUGGUUUGGGAGUUUACAUCUCAUUGAUAGCCCUCUCCUCCUGAGCAGACUUUCCAUAGGGGCGACUCUAUCUAACGGAGUAACUCUAGCUACCUAACCAAAAUCACAUAGUAGGUGCACGUAUGUCGUCGUCAUUAUAACCGUAAUUUUCAAAACACCAUACUUAAAACAUAUGUCUAAAACCAUAUUUCACAAUUAUAUAAGGAACCUUAUGUCAAAAUACUUUCCCCAAAACUCAAUUGAAAAGCCACAAUAUAAGUAAAUCCAAAUUCAAAUCCAAAUCCAAAUUUGGUACAUAUUAAUAUCAAAUCCUUUCAACAAAAACUUAUAUUUCAAACCGUGCUUUACAACGUACGAAAACAAGUGCCAAGAUGCAUGAAAUCAAUUUUCAAUUCUAAAAUCCAUUACUUUAUAAAUCAUAAAUCAUAGGUCAAUCCAAACCCUAAAUCUGAAGUAUAAUAGUAUCAAAAUAAUUUUCAAAACAAAAACAUAUUUCUCAAAAACCAUUUUUGUCAACAUCUCAAAACUUAUGCUAGUAGUAUAUGCAACCAAAUCUCAAUUUCAAAACCUUUGCUCAAUAAAUCAUAGACAAGUUCAAAUAGAGACCAUAGAUUCAUGACCUUAUACAUAAAUUUCAAUGACAAGAAAAAUGUUCAAAAGGGUGUGCUUCCCGUUUUGAUAAAUACUUUAACUUAUAAAAUCAUCAAAAUAACAAUAAUAACAAUAAUUUCCUUAAAAAAUAAUAAUUAAAAUAUAUGAUAAUGAUCGUCAUCAAUUCACAAUUUUGGAGAAUCAAUUUCGUUCCUAGCAAUGCUUUCCAAUGACCACCGAAGCAAUUUUCACACGAUGGAAACGGUUACAAUUGAAGACUUUGAAGGUGUUACCCUAAUUUCCACGCGAUGGAAACGGUCACAUUUGAAGACUUUAAUGGUGUGUGUUACCCUAAUUUCCACGCAAUGGAAAAGACCUAAAAUCAAGUAUGAAAGCCCAUAUUGUGAUUUCUUUCUUUUAGGAUAAUUCUAGAUUUCCAAAAAUAUUCAUCAAAAACAAGUUCAUAAGAAACACUAGAUUUCCAAAUUCUUUCCUUUUAUGAUUAAUUCUAGAUUUCCAAAAUAUACAUAAAAAAAAAAGUUCAUAAGAAAAACUAGAUUUCCAAACUAAAUGGAUUUUUUUUUUUUGUAGUGUCCAGAGUUUGAACACCAGACCUUGCAUACAUUAUGCAUGAUCCUUACCAACUGAGUUAAGUUCACGGGGACAAACUAAAUGGAAUUUAACUUAUCCUAUAACCUUCCUUAAAAAAAAAAAAAAAUUAUCCUUUAACCUUGACAAGGGUGAUCUUUUGAUAUUGAGAUGUGAAAAUUAAUGUCCAGCAAGUUACUCCUCCAUGGUAUGUGUGGAUGUCGUUAAAUUCUUAUGUCCAGCAUUAUGAAAUUAAAAUAAUGAUUUUUUACGUUAGCUGCAAGGGUUUUAGGGUUGCCUCAGCCGUCGGAAGAAUAGUUUUAAAACUCGAAUCGGUAAUCGACUCGGUAGAGGUAUUGGUUCACUGAAUCAAUGGUCGAACCACUGGAUCAUUGAUCGAACUGCAAGAAAAAAUCGGAUUAAAUCGGUUGACUCGAUUGUAUCACUCGAUCUUUAUAUUAAAAAUCUCGUAUUACACUGAAUAAUUCUGUUCUCUAAAAUUUUUAUCACAACUAUAAAAAGUGAAAAAAUUAACAUAGUUUCACAAAUUUAUUUUUCAAAUAUAAUCUAUUGAUUGUGAUACAAUUAUCAAUCAAAUACAAAAAUUAAUUUUAACCACAAAACUGAUUUUCGUAAAAAGAAAUAUGCUAUUAAUCACAACAAUAUUUACAAGUAAGUGUAUUUUUUUGGUGUUAAAAAUAAUUGUAUAUAAUUUUUAAGUAUAAAUUGCAAUAUGUCGUUAAGCUAAAAUUAUGAAAAAUAUCAUUUAAACAAUAAAAAUACGAAUUAAGACAGUAGCACAAUUAUGAAAUAUAUCAUUAAAAAUAAUUGUGAAUUUCAAUGUUUUUAUAUAAAUGAAAUAUGAAUUAUAGUGAAAUUUUGCAAUUGAAUUUAAUAUAAUAAAUAAGAAUCAAAAUAAUAACACAACACAACUGGAGGCAUGGCGUGGUGGUUGGAGCACUCCAAUUUUUAAGGUGAUGUUGCCAAUUUUAUUCCCUCUCCUAGCAAAGUGGAAUUUCUUUUAAAAAAAAAUAUCGCGCCUGUUUAUUGUUCCAAAAAAUUUUGUGAUGUUCCUAUAGGACUAGACUGCCCGUUUCUAGGGUCAAUAUCCUCUCCAUUUAUAAAUUUCUUCAUUUGUUCCAUUUAGAGAGAUAAAGACACAUUAAAAGUAAAAAAUAAUUAAUGAUGGUGGGACCCACCACUUAUUUUUUGUGUCUAUCUCUCUCCAAAUUGCAACAAAUGGAAAAAUUUAUAAAUGAAGAGGAUUUUGACCCCAUUUCUAUAGGUCUGUUUUUUUUUUUUACAAAUAAAUAUUUUCGUCUAAAUUAAAUAGUUUUUUAAUAACAAAAGUUUUAGACUGUUUUUUUUAUAUGCACCACACAAUAUUUAUAGCAAAAUAAAAGAAAACUUCAAAUUAUAUUGUCAAAUUAACAAGUCUUGCAAACAUGUGAAACUAACAUCUUACAAACUAACAAAGCAACAUCGAGAUUUUAUUUCAGGUCGAAAGAGAAGAGCAAAAUAGACAAUCGUAAAAUUGCAAACAAAAUCGAAGGGUUUUACUCAACUACUUUUGUAGAAUCGAUAUAUGAAAUCGUAAAAUCGCAAUCAAAGUCGAUGGAUUUGACCAAAAGAAAAAUACUAAAUAUAUGUUAAAAAUGGUAUAUAAUCAUAAAUGACUUAGUUUAUAAGAAAUCGUAAAAUCUCAAUCAAAAUCGAUGGGUUUUGCCUAUUUUGGAAUUCUACUAUGGAUUUGAGUCGUUGAAGAUGAAGAAAGUCGCAAAAUCCUGAAUUUUAGGAUUUAAGUCGGGAUUUUGACAACAAUGUACGAUAUAUAAAUUCUUAAGAGAGAGGUUCAAAUGUUGGCUCGGUGAUCAACUUUUGAAGCUAGCUACACAAAAAAAAAUUCUUAAGAGAUGGGUUAUUAUCAGAACCAUUUAACAAUCAAGAAAAUAAUUCAAACGUAGACUUGGUUUUAAGAUUGCACAAUGUGCGGUCUCAAACAGGCUCUAUUGCGUGUGAGACUGGGUUGAAUGUUCAAAUCAAUAGUUAAGCUAUCUGUUGCAUGCAAUCUAUAAAAAGGAGAAAAAGAUACGUUAUUUACAUAUCACUACAUCCUAAAAGUCAUUUUCUUCUGUGUUGGAGAUGAUCGAUUUGACAAAUAAUAAUCUGCAAGGUCCAAUUCCUUUGUCUGUCUUUAACCUUAGAACACUUUGUGGCAUUGAACUUUCAUCCAACAAGUUUAAUGGCACAAUACAGUUUGGACGUCAUUCAAAGGCUAAGUAAUUUAAUUAUACUAAGGCUAUCACAUAACAAUUUGUCGGUUAAUGUGAACUUUAGAGAUGAUCAUGACUUGUCACCACUUCCAAACUUGAAAAUUCUACGGUUGGACUCUUUACCUAUCUGACAACAUGAUAGAUGGACUAAUACCUAAUUCGAUUUGGAAACUUGAUAAUCUCAUUAACUUGAAUCUUUCCCAGAAUUCGUUGACAGAUUUUGAAGGAAAUUUUUUUAACUUCAGUUCUAACCUUUUUGAGCUUGAUCUUAGUUCAAACAAACUACAAGGGCCUAUUCCUUUCAUUCCACCAGACAUUGGAAACCAUCUCCCUUACAUACUUAUUUUGUUUCUUUCAAACAACAGUUUUCAGGGAAAAAUCCAUGAAUCUUUCUGCAAUGCAUCGAGUCUAAGCCUGCUAGAUCUUUCCCAUAAUAAUUUCUUUGGGACAAUUCCCAAGUGUUUUGCAGCACUAAGUAACCGUCUUCGGAUGUUGAAUUUUCGUGGAAAUAAACUCCAAGGUCAUAUUCCUAAAACUAUGUUUCUAAAUUCAUGUGCACUGAGGAUUUUCGAUCUAAAUGACAAUCAUUUAGACGGCACUAUACCAAAAUCCAUAGUAAAUUGUCGGGAACUACAAGUCGAUAACAUCGGAAAUAAUGCACUAACUGGAAGAAUUCCAUGUUUCUUGAGUAAAAUUCCAACCUUGAGAAUCAUGGUUUUAAGGUCAAAUAAAUUCCACGGGUUUAUUGGAUGCCCAAAUAGCACUGGUGAUUGGAAGAUGCUUCAUAUUGUUGAUCUAGGCUCCAAUAACUUUAGUGGCAUGAUAUCAGCAUCACUCUUAAACAGUUGGAAAGCAAUGAUGCGUGAUGAAGAUGUGUUUGGGCCAGAAUUCGGUAACUUGUCCCAUAAUGGGACAUAUACCAUCAUCUGUGGGGACUUUGAAGAAUCUUGAGUCUAUGGAUUUGUCAAAUAACUCCUUGAAUGGAGAGAUUCCUCCAGAGUAUAUGAAUCUCUUGGCAAAUUCCUUUGGGCACUCAAAUUCAAUAAUUUGAUGUAGAUUCCUUCAAAGGAAAUGAAGGGUUAUGUGGACCUCCACUGACCAACGAUUGCAACGAUGAUGGAGUGCAAGGGCUGCCGACACCAGCAUCCGAGUUAUCUCAUUCUCAUAAUGACAGUUCAAUUGACUGGAGUUUCUUAAGUGUGGAGUUGGGAUUUAUUUUUGGGUUUGGAAUUUUCAUCCUCCCCCUUAUUUGCUUGAUGAGAUGGAGGUUGUGGUAUUCCAAGCAUGCAGAUGAAAUGCAUUACAGGUUGAUCCCCCAGCUAGAUUUUGUGUAUGAACAGCAUGAAGGGAAGAGGUAUAGAACUCUAAGGUGGAGAUGCUAGUCAAUUAACUCACGGUGGAUCCAUCAUUUGUAUGCUUCUCAUGUUAGUAUUGUUGAAGAAGAACGAAUCUGAUAGCUAUGUGAUAGCUUAAUGUUGCAGUUAGUUCUUUAGCAAUUUUCAGAAAUAAUCACUUUGUAUUAGAAUGUAUGAAAGUUUCUCUGCUACCAUUUCAGUUCUAUUAUAAUAAAUUUAAUAACAGUUGUAUUGUAUGUGUGCUUCAAAAGUUAUUUAUUUCCAUACUAUAUGAAUUCAAUUUCAUCCUUUUCUGCUACAAUUUUGUUCUUAUAAAUGAACUUUGUUAUAUUAUGUUACAUAUUUUUAAUCACGAAUCAUGAAACCACCAUGACAACAUAAAGUUAGAAUAUCAAUCAAACUUGCAUCAGAAGGCAAAAAUUAGGCUCCCUACCUUAAAAGAGUUCCUUCACAGAUAAGAAAUAUCAAUGACAGUUACAAAAUAGAGGAGAUAAAUAGCAUCCAAUGUGAGAAAGAAAUUAACUCCGAUUUCCAAUGUGAUUUCUGAUCGCCGUGACUUUAGAUUUUCUAAAAGGCUUAUAGAAACUAAACUAAGAUGUUCAAAGCCUAAGAUCUCAAGAGAACAGCCUUCUUCCUAUGAUAGUAUCCAACAACUUGAUGUACCAGCCAACACAAUCAAUUCUGUAUGAAAUAAAUAAUACAUUUCUCUUUUUCAUAACAUCUAUUUCAUCUUAGUUUUUUAGUUCUAUUUUCUACUAACAUUCAUCAGCAUAUAUAUAGAUGGAAUUUUUAAUUAUAUACAUAUUUUGAGAUUUGAUGUAGGCAUAUCAAGUUGAAAAGGAAGGUUGUGAUCAAGUACAAUCGCCAUCAAGAGCCCCAGUACAAGUUGCUCAUCCUCUCACAUUGUAACCAAAUUUGGGGCAUAAACAGGCUGAAAAUGUUGAAAACUUAACAGCAUGUAUAGCCGAGAAUACGGGAGAACAAGGUGAGGCUGAAAUGUCCUUGUCCAAAAAUUCAAAUCAAAUUGCUGGACAUAACACAAUUGAAGAAACUAUCCCUCAUCAAAAUGAACCUUUGGCAGAGGAAACUCAAGCCUCAAAUAGAUUUGAGGAAGCAACAAAUAUGAAGUCUAUUUCUAGAGCUGGAUCAUCAUCCCCAUCUUUAAGAGUCCUCAAACUUACUGAAGUGGUUGCCAUGUGGAGAAAUGAUGAUGGGGUUUAUUCGGAAGUAAAAAGCCAGUCUGAAGACACGGUUUAUGGAUAUAAAGUGAAGCCAGAAUUCAUGCCUAUAUUAAGAAAAAUUAUCGACAAGCAUGGAUAUAUUUCUAAGAAUUGUGUGGCAAGGUUGGUGAAAGACCGUUCAAAAUUGUUGGAGAUAAUAUGUGAAAUCUUACACGAUUUUCGAGAUAUGGAUCUUACAAAAGUCAAACAAAGUUUCGUAGAAAGCAAGAUUUCUCUUAGUAAGGGACUACAUAAAGGUACGAAUUGCAGCUUGAAUGGCUUUCCAUGAGUCUAUCUGAGGUAAUUGGCGCAAUUAAAAUUAUGGAUAAGUUUGAUAUUCUAGAAGAGAAAAGAGACAAUAAUAGCAAGCUCCUUGAAGAUGCUGAGAGUGAAUUGGAAGUUUUUCAAGAACAAAAGAAGGUAAAGACAGAGAAGAUGAAGGAAUUGUUAGAGAAUAUGAGAGAAUUGUCAAAGAAUUUGGAAGAAAUAUGUGUUAAAGAGACUGCUUGCAAAGAAAGAUUGACUGCAGCAAAGAAUGAAUCUACCUCGAUAUCUCAAACAGACCGGUAUUACACAUCUAAAGCCAGACGCUUUUUGAAACGCUCAGUGAUGGAUGGUUUAAUUUAGUGUUGCAAUUUCAUAUUCCUGUUUCUUCUUUAUUCAUGAUGAUUGUUUUAGGAUUUGUUUACUGUGUUUAUGACUAUGUUGAUUUUUAAACACUUCAGUGAGCAUUUAAGUUCUUGAAGUGUUUAAAAACUUAUGUUUAAAUACUUCAAGAAUUUAAAUGCUCACUGAAGUGUUUAAAAAUCAACAUAGUCAUAAACACAGUGAACAAAUCCUAAAACAACCACCAUGAAUAAAACAGAAAUAUGAAACUGCAACACUAAAUUAAACCAUCCAUCACUGAGCGUUUCAGAAAGCGACUGACUUUAGAUGUGCAAUACCGGUAUGUUUGAGAUAUCGAGGUAGACUCCUUCUUUAUUGUGGUCAAUCUUUCUUUGCAAGCAGUCUCUCUAACACAUAUUUCUUCCAUAUUUUCUGACAACUCUCUCAUCUUCUCUAACAAUUCCUUCAUCUUCUCUAUCACUACCUUCUUCUCUUCUUGAAAAACUUCCAAUUCACUCUCAGCAUCUUCAAGGAGUUUGCUAUUAUUGUCUCUUUUCUCUUCUAGAAUAUCAAACUUAUCCAGAAUUUUAAUUGCGCCAAGUACCUCAGCUAGAAUCAUGGAAAGCCAUUCAAGCUCCAAUUUCGUACCUUCAUGUAGUCCCUUAACAAGAGAAAUCUUGUUUUCCACAAAACUUUCUUUGACUUUUCUAAGAUCCAUAUCUCGAAAAUCAUGUAAGAUUUCACGGAUUAUCUCCAAUAAUUUUGAACGGUCUUUCGCCGACCUUGCCACACAAUUCUUAGAAAUAUCUUCAUGCUUGACGGUAAUUUUUCUUAAUAUACGCAUGAAUUCUGGCUUCACUUCAUAUCUAUAAACCGUGUCUUCAGGUUGGCUUUGUACUUCCGAAUGAACCCCAUCACCAUCAUCAUUUCCCAACAUGGCAACCACUUCAGUAAGUUUGAGGACGCUAAAAGAUGGGCAUGAUGAUGAUCCUUGUCUACAUCAAACAUGAAGUAUAUUUCUAGAGCUAGAUCAUCAUCCCCAUCUUCUAGCGUCCUCAAACAUACUGAAACGGUUGCCAUGUUGAGAAAUGAUGAUGGUGAUGGGGUUCAUUCGGAAGUACAAAGCCAGCCUGAAGACACGGUUUAUCGAUACGAAGUGAAGCCAGAAUUCAUGCCUAUAUUAAGAAAAAUUACCAGCAAGCAUUGAUAUAUUUCUAAGAAUUGUGUGGCAAGGUUGGUGAAAGACCGUUCAAAAUUGUUGGAGAUAAUAUGUGAAAUCUUACACGAUUUUCGAGAUAUGGAUCUUACAAAAGUCAAACAAAGUUUCGUGAAAAGCAAGAUUUCUUUUGUUAAGGGACUACAUAAAGGUACGAAUUGCAGCUUGAAUGGCUUUCCAUGAGUCUAUCUGAGGUACUUGGCGCAAUUAAAAUUAUGGAUAAGUUUGAUAUUCUAGAAGAGAAAAGAGACAAUAACAGCAAGCUCUUUGAAGAUGCUGAGAGUGAAUUGGAAGUUUUUCAAGAACAAAAGAAGGUAAGACAGAGAAGAUGAGAGAAUUGUCAAAGAAUUUGGAAGAAAUAUGUGUUAAAGAGACUGCUUGCAAAGAAAGAUUGACCGCAGCAAAGAAUCAGUCUACCUCGAUAUCUCAAACAGACCGGUAUUGCACAUCUAAAGUCAGUCGCUUUCUGAAACGCUCAGUGAUAAUCCAUCAUUGAGCGUUUCAGAAAUCGACUGACUUUAUAUAAUUAACAACAGUGAAAGUGUUAACUAAAUUUUGAAAGUUAUAAUUUGAAAUCUAAACAGAAACACAUAAUCAUAAGCAUAUUACAACAGACAGAGUACGUAAGGAAUAUAAAAUAUGCAACACAAUUCCUCUUCAUUUGUGAGCCAUAAAAGAGAAAUUCAAAUAGAAGAGUGCAAUUGUCUAAUUGAGGAUCAUAACUUAUUUUAGGAGAAAGACAUGAUUUUUGAUAGAACACGAUGGUGUCGUUUGAUUCAUGUAGCCCGAACCCACUUAGUGGCACCAUCACCUAGACUAUUUUAUAAACUUAUAAAAUCUUAUUGGAUUGCUAGUUCAAAUUUAUUAAAGUGAGGGGAUUAAUUACUAAUGAUAUGCCCUAAAAAAGUACUAACUAACAAAUGUAAUCAUCUACCAAAAAAGUACUAAAGCUUUCUUCCAAAACCCCAUUUUCACAUUAAGCUCGAUCAUGAACUGUAACAUACUAUUUUGUUCCAUAAGCAGAGGUACCUAUAUUCAAAUUUAACCAUAAUAGUACUUACAUGUGAAAGAGAGACAAAGCUUGCCAAUCUCCUCUGUAGUGUUCCUCUCGAUGGUUGUUCUCAGACAUGUAGAGAUGUAGAGAUGACAAAAUCAGCUGAAGCACAUAUAUGCCGUCUAGUUGUAUCACAUUCCUCUUCGGCCACUGUAAGUCAUGUCCAAUGUAUGUAGAUGAGGAGUUAUGUUACUUCCUAUGCUCAAAAUAAUUUCAUUUAUUAGAAGCUAACCACACUUCAAUAACCUUAAAAGCUAAUUAUUGUUACAAGUAUUGAUGAAAAGGCAGAAAUUGAAAGCAAUAACUUUCACCAGAAAAACACUAUGCAAAUAACUGUAGAAACUUAUGCUUACAACAACAAUCAGAGACCAAAAACUAUAACUACAAAUUACAAUCAAUUUGAACACAUUUCAUAUUAUCAUUUUAAAUAGUAGUAAUAGAUUGUGAACUUUUGAAGGAACGAUUCAAAUGUGAUGUGAGUUAACGUUUCCAGAAAAAUAUUUUUGUUCUUUUCAAAAAACAAAACACCAAUAGUAGUAAUAGAUUGUGAACUUUGUUAUUUUUCUAUAUAGACUAAGCUUAUAAAAGAAGUCCAUUAAGAAUUUGUUUAAUUUUUUCUUUUUUUAAUAAACUUAGUUUAUAUACUUUUUAUUGUCCACGCCAAAAAAGUAGUAAUAGAUUGUGAACUUUGUUAUUUUUCUAUAUACAUAAAUGGGUUAAUUUUUAAUCCCUAUAAAUAUUCACAGUUUUGUUUUUAGUCUCUACAAAAUAAAAUCACACUUUUUAGUCUCUGUGACAUUUUCCUUAAGCAUUUUAGAGACUCAAAAUGAUGUUGGAAAAUUUUUAUAGAGACUAGUAAUGUUGAUGGAAAAUUUUAUAAGGAUUAAAAAUGUUAAUGGAGGGAUUAAAAAGUGUGAUUUUAUUGUGUAAGAACUAAAAUUAAAAUUCAUAAGGCUUAAAUAUGUAUUUGAUCCUUGCAAUUAGGGAUCGUUUAAAAAUUGGUCCUUGUAAUCGCUAAUCCUGGCAAUUUACCCCUGCAUUGUUUAAUCAUUUAAAAUUUUGUCCCUCUCCCCACUUAAUCACUGCCACGCCACAUGAAAUUCCAAUUUUACUCCUAGGUUUUCAAUUUUUUCUUCAAUAUUUUGUCCUCUUCUUAAGGGCAAAAUUGGAAUUUUAUGUUUGGUCAAAGGACUAAAUUUUAAAUGAUUAAUGAUUGCAAGGCUAGUUUGCAAGGAUUAACGAAUGCAGGGACCAAUUUUUAAACGACCCCUACUUAUAAGGAUCAAAUACAUAUUUAAGCCAAUUCAAAAUAUUUAUAGGAUCAUUUACUUAAUUAACCCUACAUAAAUUGGUUUUCUUUUGACUCAAAAUUGAAGUGAAAUGUAAAGCUUGUCACCGUCCACGUCCACUGAUUUUAGUUUUAUUUUGAGUCACCGACCAUCUAAUUUUUUUUUUUGAAGUAACCGACCAACUAAUUUAUAUAAUUAUAUAAUUUCUGCAUAUUGUUAUUAUAUAUCAUGAGUUAAACGAGCAAAUGUUUAGAGCACUUACAAUAGAGUUCUACCUUAUAUAUCAUGAGCUACAAUUACCUUUAAUUAUAACAUAAUCACCAUACCUUAUUCAGUUAAUAGUUGUGUAAAUUAUUAUAUGAAAAUGAAUAGAUUGCUACUAUCAAUUACAAUUUUGAAGUCCAAAAUACCGUUUUUACGAGGUAUUGAUUGUUUUGGGUGUUGGUUAUUACGGUUUUAUUUUUUUUGUAAAAGAUAUAUCAUUUGAUUUCUAAGUGUGAGUGUUUGAAGUUAAACUACCACCUUCAUUCUCAAGUAAUGUUAGAUUUUCUGUUUGUGGUAUAUUGGAGAAAAUAUUAUUUUAUUUUAUUUUAUUUUUGUUGUGAAUUCCGGUCUCAAAAUCACACCAAUACAAACUAUGAUGUGUGGAGUAAAGGAAAGUAGUAAUCAAUAUCAAAGUGAACACAAGCAAUAAUCAACAAUAACAGCACCUAGAUCUAAUCUAGGAAUCAAAGUGAAAAGCACAAAACCACAAGCAAAAGAUAAAAGGAGAGAAGAGAUAAACAAACACAUCAAAGAUUGUUCACUCAGUUCGGUCCAAACUUGACCUACUCUGGAGGAGAGAUUGAUCUCUCUAGUCCACUAUCAAUGAGUUCUUACAAAGAGAUACAAAAGGGUUACAAGAAAUUAGCUUUUGACAAGUUCACAAAGAACAACCCUAAUUUCUACCUCUUUUUUUUCCAAUCUCACCAAUGAACAAGACACUCAAUGAUUUUCACUCACCAAAGUGUUUACAAUGUUUCCCAGCCCAAGAGAACUAUAAUCAAAGACCCUAAACCCUAAAGUUGUCUCCUUUGAUUUCUCAAGUUUCUCUCUCUUCAAGUUCUCCUUCAAAAUCUGCAAAGAACACUUAUAUAGUUGUCUUCAGCGUCGAAAUCGUGUCACGUUUUUUCCCCAAUCGUGCCACGAUUGAUGCGUACGACCAACCUUAUCCUGAAAGUCUUGCCCAGCAAGCCAAAAAUCGUGUCACGAUUUCCCAAAAUCGUGUCACGAUUGGACGCCCUGAAAAACAUCUCUCGACAUUACCAAAAUCGUGUCACGAUUUUUCUGCUUCCCAACUUUACAAUUUGAAGACAUACACAACAAUUUUAUAUUAAUAAAUAAUCAUACAGUACAAAUAUGAUAUAAAUAUUAUCAAAGGGCAAUAUGACAUGAAUUAUAGUAGUGAUUAUGUGAAGUCGAGAAAAUUAUAGUUUGUUUAAUCUGCAGCUGAUUACCUCAACACAACGCAUGCUUCCAUUAAGACAUCCGCACUGAACAAAAGUACUUUUUUGGUUAGUUAUUUUACUAGUAUAUACUUUUUUUUAGAGAUACUAUUAUAUACUUUUUUACUAUAAUAUUAUAAUAAAAUAAAAUAAAAUGUUAUUUAAUUAAAUCUGAGGUUGAACCUGGUUCAACCCCGAUUGAACCUCAAAACCUUAAACCCUCUCCUUCAUCGGUUUAAUGUCCGGUCCAGUUCUGAUUACCUUGGUUUUUAGUAAAAAGCAAGUGGGAGUAGGCUUGCUAACUUUCUCCUUCAUGUGUUUUUAGGUUGGAGUAAGUUAGCAGCCCCCUUCUAUAAAAUACUACUUUAUUUUGUAUGUGAAAAUAUGUUAAUCAUUUGUAACGCAUAGUAUUUUGUGGAUUCCACUUGUGUGCCAUUAAGGAGGGAAUGUUACUGACAUUGAUCAAUCUAAUUGUGACACAUGAGCCAAAUUAACUAUUUUCACUCUCUUUCAAAUCUUUUAAAUCUUUUUCUGUUUAAAAAAACUAUGAUGUCACGUGUCACACUUGAAUUGGUCAAUGGCAUGUGACAUUAUGUCGCACAAGUGCAAUCCAUAUUUUGUGUUCUUAUAUUUGCAUAAACAAAUUAUGUUCGGGUAUGACUGCAAUUUGAAAACUCAUGGAUAUUUUCAAAAUAACAACAUUAAUUUAGUAUUUUUGUAAAAUAUUUGUUCAUUUUAUAUGUGAAAAUCAAUUAAAUAUUUGCACCGCACUCGUUGCUAAUUUAUGUAUAUAUCCACGGAAACAAUUUUUUAUGUCCUAAUAUGGUAAUAUUUUUAAAUCCGUGGGUUUUUUUUUUUUUUUUUUUUUUAUCUUUAAAAUAUCAAUAUUAAAGUUGUAAAAUAAGAGACAUACUUUGUCGAAAAUAAUCUUUAAGAGUAAAUACUUGGCAAAUCUUUUGUGGAUAGUUUGAUAUGAUUAUAUGAAGAUAUGUGAAUGUUUUCUAUGUGUUGAAUAUGAUGUUUAUCAUAAUGUGUUGUAUUUUCUCCUUUGCCUGAAUUGUGAGAAACUGUAUGGAGUUGUUGACUAUAUGAUAUAGUUGAUGUUGAUUAAUGCAUAUAUGUUGAUUGAUUGUGAUAUUGUUGGUGAAUACAUAUAUGUUAAUUGAUUGUGAUAUUGUUGGUGAAUGCAUAUAUGUUAAGUGAUGGUGAUGUGUUGGUGAUUUCAUAUAUGCUAAAUGAUUGAUGAUGAUGUGAUGAUGACUCUUAAUUGAUUUAUGACUUGAUUGAUUGUGUGGACGUAAAUACUUGAUAAUGUCAUUGUUGUUGAGGUGAUCAAUAUAAUUGGAGGUUAUCCUUUAUAUUGUUGUUGAAUAUUAUGAGGUGAUUUUGCAUUGUCGAGUCUUUUGUUGUAUGUUCAUGCAUCAUAGUCAUGUUGAGUCUUGAUGUUGUAAAGGAGAGUUACUCUUUUACUUCGGUGAUAAUGUAAGACGGGUGUGAAGUCUUACAUAUGAUGUUUUUGUUGCAUCAUGGGUGACGAUCUUGAGGUGAUUUGGUACCACAUGCAUAUAUGUGUCGGGAAUAGCUGCAUAACAUAAUUGGCAUGAGUCUUAAUUGUUUACAUGUGAAUGAUGAUUUUUGAUGAUAAGUGUGUUUGAUGAAUACAUACUUGUGACAUUUGGAUUGAUUGGUUGAUGAAUUGUGUCAUAAUUGAAUAUGUGACUUGAUGAAUUUGUGCAUUGGUGAAAUUGUUGAGUGAUGUGAUCUAUGUGGAUUUUGUUGAUAGUUGUAAAUAAAUGAUCUAUGCUCUAAUUGCAUAUCUUGCUUACUUGUGCUUAUACACUUGAUGAAUCUAUUUGAUGAUAAUUAUUUUGGUAAUAGUGAUGAGGUGAGAAUUGUAUAUGUUUUGAUGAUUUCUUUGAAAAUGAUGAUUGCUGGCUUAUAACUUUGAAAUGAUGAAUUGUAAGUAUGCUAAAUGAAGAAUAAGGUGAGUAAUCCUUUCAUUGAUAAAUGAUGAACUUAUGUUGAUGACUUGAUUAGGAAUUGAGUAUGCUUGCUAUGCUAUGUUAGUAACGUGAUAGCUUGAGAUGUAUGGGAUUGGGGAUAAUAAUCAUGUGAUGCUAGUAUUCUAGGAGGGAUGAUUAUGUAUAUGUGUUAUGCAUGAAAUCCUUGAAUGCUUAUGUUUGUUUAUGUUGAUUAUGAUUGAUGUGAAGCUUACCCCAGUAGAUAUGUGAUGGACCGCCUACCUGUUUGUAUGAAUGGGUAGACGGCGUGCAUGACUAGUUUGCUUUUGGUGAGUUGCUUGAUGAUUGCUUGGAUAGCGGAAGCUAAUCUCUGUUAUCGUUUCUUGGAGUCUUAGAUUAGGCUCUGAUUAGGACGUUAGUCUUUAUGUCUUUGUUGAAUUUAUUUAUUAUGGAGAUUUUACCCAUAUGUUGGGAUUUGGAGAAUUUAUAUGAUGAUGUAUUUUGAUCUCAUGACAUGUAUAUUUUGGAGAAGUAUGAUUUAUAUCCGCUGCGACCGUUGAGAAUUUUUAUAUAUGCAUGUAUGUUUGGUUUUGUUGAAGACGUAGCGUCUGUUUUUUGAAUAUAUGCUUUAUUCGCGUAUUUUAUCGCUUUAAUAGAAAUAUGGUGUUACAAUCAACACCAUGAAGGUGUUUCAUGGUGUUGGAGGAUGCAAUGCAGCAACCCAAAUGCCGCAAUUAAGCGACUUGGCGCAGACCGCAAUAAAGGUGAAAUUUCCAAAAACUAAUAAUAUAGAAGGGGGCAUUCCGUUAAAACACUUUGUUUCCUUCAACUUUCUUUUAACAAGUUUAAUGGCACAAUAAAUUUAGACGUCAUUAGAAAGUUAAGUAAUUUAAUUACACUUGGCCUUUCCUUCGAUGAAAAUUCUACAGUUGGAUUCAUGCAAGCUGAGGAAUCUGUAAUGGUUGUACUCAAUUGGAAUGCAAAUGCAAACAAUAUUAUGUUGAUUCACCCAAAUAAGCAAAACAACUUAGUAAUUAUAAUCUUUGUUGAUAGAUCACAGCAGAUAAAUAAGACAAUGGUAACAAUAGAAAGAAGAACUUGAAGAAAGAGUAUAUGAAAUAAGAGAGGAUUAGAGAAUCAGAGAGAGAAGAAGAGUUUCAUCACACAUUUUUCAUGCUUAUUUCCUUGACUUUUCUCUUAUUUAUAAGGGUCCUAUUUCUAUUUCCCAUAUUGCCCCUGAUUGCUCUUUGACUUAUUACAGAAUCCCUCCCUAGUUUCUUGAGAAACCAGUCCACAUUGUUAUUAUUUCUUCAUUUAACUGAAAACAAUAUUAAAGGAUCAAUACCUAAUUGGGAUUUGGCAUCUUGCUUCACUCAUUAACUUGAAUCUUUCUCAUUAAUUUCUCUAAAAUAACAGUUUUCAAGGAAAAAUCAGUGAACCUUUCUGUAAUGCAUCUAGUCUUCUCAUGCUAGAUUUUUCCCAAAAUAACUUCUUUUUUUUUGAAGAAAAAAAUCCAAGAACGAAAAAGAAGUUUUCCAAAAUAACUUUGUUGGGACAAUUCCAAAGUUUUUUCUUUUUUAACGGCAAAAUGUAUUAAUAACUACUACCUACCUCCGUUUCUUUUUAAUUGUCAUAUUUUGACAUUUUAUACAAAUCAAGACAAUCAACAAUUGAUACUACUUUUGAUGCAAUAAGCUAUAUUUUUACUAUAAUGAUCUUAUUCAUUUAAUAUCUCAUUUCAUAUAUUUCUCUCUCCGCAAUAAAUAACUAAGGAUAAUAUUGGUAAAACAACAUUUAAUGUUGCAUUGAGCUUUGAAAGUGACAGUUAAACAAGAACAAAAAAUUUCUCCAAAAGUGACACUUAAAAAGAAACGGAGGGAGUAAGUUUUUACACAAGAAUUGAGAUGACAAUAGACAAACAACAAAGUAAAGGACGUCGUAUAUAGACGGAACAUCAAUUUUUUUUAUAAAAACACUUAAGGACACCAAAUAAUCAAAGGCUACGACAACACUAAUAAGAAAUUAACCACACAAACCAACAUCAACACCUAAAUCAAAGCAAAAAUGUUUAGCAAACGUCUCAGAAUGUUGAACUUUGUUGAAAACAAUUUCCAAGGUCAAAUUGCUAAUUUAAUGUUUCCAAAUUCAUUUAAAACAUUAAUAAUAUUUUAAAAAGUGUGUAUUAUAUGAAAAUAUAAACAUGAGAUAAAAGAAGAAAAAAGAAUAUUUUCAAGUGUAUUCCAGACGUUGAGAACUACUCAUUCAAUCUCUUAAAUUGGAAUUAUUUGUGUUGAAUACACAACUAGAGUCAAUUGACAGUUUGAGUGGUGGAAAACAGAAACAUUAUAGUGGAACUAAGUCAAAGGUUGCUUUUGAAUGGUCACAUUUGAAGACUUGAAAGUUCUUACCUUAAUUUCCACGGUGUGGAAAAGACUUAGAAUAUGGUGUUUUCACCAAAACACUAAAGAAAUAGCAAAAAGAAAAAAAAAGGAAUAAUUACCAUCAGAACCAAAAACAUAAAAAGCUAAUGAUAAAACUUACUAAAAGAAUUUCAAUAACCAUAAAUACUACUCCCUCCGUCCCUAUAUAUAAGACCCUUUUGCCAAAAUCACGGAAAUUAAGAUAGUGGAUAUUUGUAUUAAAGUUGUUUGUAAUCACUAUUGUUUUUACAAUUUUAUCCGUUAAGAAAGAAGGUUAGUUUAUGUUUUCAACAUGUUAUUUAUUGUUGAUUGAAGAAAAAGAUGUAUAAUAAAUAGGGGCAGUAUGUAAAGAAAUAAUUAAUGUAGUUGGAAAUAACAAAGGGGUCUUAUAAAAAGGGACAAAAAAAAUUCUCAAAAGGGUCUUAUAAUUAGGGACGGAGGGAGUACAUGAUAUCCUUGAGUGAACAAAUGUGAUGAUAAUAUGGUGUGUACACAACCUGAAAAUUUGAUGUUAACAUGUUGUCAAAAUCCCAACCUAAAUUCUAAAAUUUAAGAUUUUGCGACUUUCUUCACCUUCAACGACUAAAAUUCAUAAUAGAAUUUUAAAAUAGACAAAAUUCAUCGACUUUGAUUGCGAUUUUACGAUUUCUUAUAAACUAAGUCAUUUAUGACCAUAUAUCAUUUAUAACAUAUAUUUAGUAUUAAUUUUUUUUGGGUAAAAUCCAUCGAUUUUGAUUGUGAUUUUACAAUUUCCUAUAUAGAUUCUACAGAAGUCCUUGAGUAAAAUCCUUCGAUUUUGAUUGCGAUUUUACGAGUCCCGAUUUUACUAUUUAUUUUUGACCUGAAGUAAAGUCCCAAUUUUGACAACCUUGGUAUUAGAUAUCUAAACAUAGCAUAAAAACGGUGGGUCCAUAAACAUGAAAACUUAGUUUUGCAUCAUUCAUUCCUCAACAAAAUAAUUUUUAUUAACUAAUUUAUUACUGUAUUUUCCCAUCUAAUAUUUAAUACAUAUUCACUUAUUUCAUUUAAUUUCAUGUUUUCUACAAACUACCACCCCGCCAUGAAAAAUUAUAGGUUAGUCACUCAUCACCAACUUAGUGAUAAGAUAAGACAUAUGAAUGACAAUCAUUAAGACUUUUUUUCAGAAUCAUUUAACAAUCAAGAAGAUUAAACUGCGUACGAAAUAGGGUUGAAUUGAAUGGUCUAAUAUUCAAUAAUUCUGCUUGUUCGUUCAUUUUACAAAAGGAGAAAAAAGUUACUUUAUUGAUAUACCACUACUUCAUUCAUAAUUCACUAUGAGAGCACAUAUAAUUUUUUGGCUUUUCUUUAUGCUAUUCAGCUCCAUAAAUUCCAGCACUAAUAAUUUUUUGCUGAAUGGCAACUGUCUAGGCCAUCAACGUGCCUUGUUGCUCCAAUUGAAGAACAACUUGAUAUUCAACCCUGAAAAAUCUUCAAAGCUAGUUCAUUGGAACCAAAGUGAAUAUGAUUGUUGCAAAUGGCAUGGUGUAACAUGCAAAGAUGGACAUGUUACAGCCCUUGAUCUUAGUCGAGAGUCUAUUUCCGGAGGACUUAACGAUUCAAGUGCCAUUUUCAGCCUGCAAUAUCUGCAGGGUCUGAAUUUGGCUUUUAAUAAGUUUAAUUUUGUGAUUCCUCAAGCGCUGCAUAAACUGCAGAAUUUGAGGUAUCUCAACUUGUCUGAUGCUGGCUUUGAGGGGCAGGUCCCAAAAGAAAUUGCUCACCUUACAAGGUUGGUUACUCUUGAUUUGUCUUCUUUAAUUACUUCACGUCAAAGCCUAAAACUUGAGAAUCCAAAUAUAGAAAUGCUUGUGAAAAACCUUACAGAUAUCACAGAAUUGUAUCUAGACGGUGUAGCAAUAUCUUCCAGCGGAGAUGAAUGGGGUCGUGCUUUAUCUUUAUUGGAGGGUGUUCGUGUUUUGACCAUGUCGUCGUGCAAUCUCUCAGGAGCUAUUGAUUCUUCACUAGCUAAGCUUCAGUCACUCUCUGUUCUAAGAUUAAACAACAACAAAUUGUCAAGCAAAGUGCCUGAUUCCUUUGCAAAUUUAUCCAAUUUAACAAUCCUAGAAAUCAGUAGUUGUGGCUUGAAUGGUUUUUUCCCAAAGGAUAUCUUCCAAAUCCACACAUUAAAGGUCCUUGACAUAUCAGACAAUCAAAAUCUUAGUGGUUCUUUGCCAGACUUCUCACCACUUGCAUCUCUUAAGUACCUAAAUCUUGCCGAUACAAAUUUCUCAGGACCACUACCAAAUACUAUCUCAAAUCUGAAGCACCUGUCGACUAUUGAUCUAUCUCACUGCCAAUUCAAUGGAACACUUCCCAGUUCAAUGUCUGAACUCACCCAAAUUGUUUAUCUAGACUUGUCAUUUAAUAACUUCACAGGCUUACUCCCUUCUUUGAGCAUGUCCAAGAACCUCACAUAUCUAUCCCUCCUUGGAAAUUAUUUAAGUGGAAAUUUACCAUCCAACUAUUUUGAGGGCCUCAUAAAUCUUGUUAGCAUCAAUUUCGGUAUCAAUUCUUUCAACGGUGAUGUGCCAUCAUCUGUUCUUACACUCCCAAGUUUGAGAGAACUGAAGCUUCCCCAUAAUAAGCUUAGUGGUAUCUUGGGUGAAUUUCACAAUGCUUCUUCACCUCUAUUGGAGAUGAUAGAUUUGUCCAAUAAUUAUUUACAAGGCCCUAUUCCAUUAUCUAUCUUUAACCUCCGAACACUUCGUUUCAUUCAACUUUCUUACAACAAGUUUAAUGGGACAGUAAAGUUGGAUGUCAUUAGAAGGUUAAGUAAUUUAACUGUAUUAGGGCUAUCAUAUAACAAUCUUUUGAUUGAUGUCAACUUCAAAGAUGAUCAUAACAUGUCAUCCUUUCCAAAGUUGAGAGUUCUAGAUUUGGAAUCUUGUAAGCUUUUACAAAUUCCUAGUUUCUUGAAAAACCAAUCCACAAUAUUAUCUAUUCACUUGUCUGACAACAACAUUGAAGGACCAAUACCUAAGUGGAUUUGGCAACUUGAAUCUCUCGUUAGCUUGAAUCUUUCCCAUAAUUUUUUGACAGGUUUGGAAGAAAGUUUUUCGAACUUCAGUUCUAACCUUAACACUGUUGAUCUUAGUUCUAACAACCUCCAGGGGCCAAUUCCUUUAAUUCCAAAGUACGCAGCUUAUUUGGACUAUUCAAGCAACAAAUUCAGCUCUAUCCUUCCGCCAGACAUUGGCAAACACCUCCCUUACAUGAUUUUUUUGUUUCUUUCCAACAACAAAUUUCAAGGAAAAAUCCAUGAUUCUUUUUGUAAUGCAUCUAGUCUAAGGCUGCUAGAUCUUUCCCACAAUAACUUUGGUGGCACAAUUCCAAAGUGCUUGCUGCACUGAGUAGCAGUCUACGAAUGUUAAAUUUUGGUGGAAACAAGCUUCGAGGUCAUAUUCCUAGUAGUAUUUUUCCAAAUUCAUGUGCACUAAGGUUUUUGGAUCUAAAUGACAAUCUUUUAGGAGGUCCUAUACCAAAAUCCUUGGUCAACUGUAAGGAACUACAAGUUAUUAACCUUGGAAAGAAUGCAUUAACCGGCAGAUUUCCAUAUUUUUUGAGUAAAAUUCCAACAUUGAGAAUCAUGAUUUUAAGGUCAAAUAAGCUGCAUGGGUCUAUUGGAUGCCCAAAUAGCACUGGUGAUUGGAAGAUGCUUCAUAUCAUUGAUCUGGCAUGCAAUAACUUCAGCGGCACGAUAUCAUCUGCACUCUUAAAUAGUUGGAAAGCAAUGAUGCGUGACGAAGACGUGCUUGGGCCAGAAUUCGGCAAUUUGUUUUUUGAAGUUCUUGACUAUUAUACAAUGGGUUUGAAGGAUGCAUUACGAAUUAUGAACAAAUAUUAUGCUACGAAAGUGGUUCAACUUACUUUAAAAAUGCCCCAUUCUGAUCUUGAUCAGGUAAUCUCUGAUAGUAGUGCAGAUGAUGUGGAUCUUCGUCGUUAUCAGGAUUAUUCAGUUAUUAUUGUUAACAAAGGUCAUCAGAUGAAGCUUAUCAAAGUUCAAAAGGCCUUCACUUAUGUUGAUAUGUCAAGCAACUAUUUAGAGGGGCCAAUACCGAAUGAGUUAAUGCAAUUCAAGGCAUUGAAUGCUCUAAAUUUGUCGCAUAAUGCAUUAACAGGCCAUAUACCAUCAUCAGUGGGGAAUUUGAAGAAUCUUGAGUGUAUGGAUUUGUCAAACAAUUCUUUGAAUGGUGAGAUCCCUCAAGAGCUUUCAAGUAUAUAUUUCCUUGAAUAUAUGAACCUCUCGUUCAAUCACCUGGUGGGUCGAAUUCCUUUGGGCACUCAAAUUCAAUCAUUUGAUGCAGAUUCCUUCAAAGGGAAUGAAGGGUUAUGCGGACCUCCACUGACCAACAAUUGCAACAAUGAUGGAGUGCAAGGGUUUGCAUCCGAGUUAUCUCAUUCUCAUAAUGACAAUUCAAUUGAUUGGAAUCUCUUAAGUGUGGAGUUGGGAUUUAUUUUUGGCUUUGGAAUUUUCAUCCUCCCCCUUAUUUGGUUGAUGAAAUGGAGGUUGUGGUAUUUCAAACAUGUCGAUGAAAUGCUUUACAGGUUCCUCCCCCAGCUAGAUUUUGUGUAUGAACAGCAGGAAGGGAAGAGGUAUAGAUCUCUAAGGUGGAGGUACUAGUCACUUAACUCUUGAUUUUGAAGCUAUAUGUCCAUAAUUUGUACUCACAUAAAGGGUGCAAGCAAAACAUGACUCAAGUGUGGAUCCAUCAUUUGUAUUCGUUCCUUGUUCACUAGGCCUUGUUUUCUUCGCAUUUUAGUAUUGUUGAAGAAAUAUGUAUCUGAUAGCGAUGUGAUAGCCUACGAUUGUAGUUAGUUCGUUAGAAAUUUUCAAAAAUAAUCACUCUGUAUUAUAGUGUAUGCUAGUUUCUCUGCUACCAUAUUUCCGUUCUAUUACAAUAACAGUUGUAUUUGUGCUUCAAAAGUUAUUUAUUUCCAUAAUAAAUGAAUUCGAUUUCAUCCUUCUCUGCUAACAUCUUGUUCUUAUGAAUGAACUUUGGUCAUAUUAUGUCAUACAUGGAUUUUUGAAUCACGAAUCAUGAAACCAUAACAACAUAAAGUUAGAAUAUCAAUCAAACUUGCACCAGAAGGCUAGAAUCAAUGACAGUUACACAGAGGAGAUAAAUAGCAAGAAAAUAUAUACCUCUACUUGCAGGGGGAACAUGGAAUUCCUCUCUAAUUAAACAACUGACUCAUUCUAAACCUAGGAUGUUGAAAUUCAGAUAGCCUUUACAUCCAUUCAACUUGUGCUUCUGUAAUUAGUUAUUAUAGUAAUAUACACAAUUAAAAAACAACUAACAAAGUUAUGGAAGAAAAAAAAUAUGAAGUUCGUUGGUAAGUAUCUCACAAAGGAUACAAGCAUAUAAUGUCUCAUUCAUAUCAUUCCCUUGUUUACAACGCCUCUUUAAUCUGACUAUUUUGUUUGUCACAUUAAUAUCCAUGAAGCCUAAGGAGCCUGUCAAUUCAGAGAAUAAUAAUCACUAUUUUUAUUUGAGUGUGUUCUAAUAUCUCUACUAUAAUUUCUGUUCUAUAUUAAAUAGAAGUUGUUUGUAUACUUCAUCUUUCUCUAUGCAAUUUGUUCUUAUGAGUCAAAUAAUGAUGACAGCAAAAAGUUGUUAAAAAAUUGAACUUUGGACUCAGAUAUUUGAAGUUUAUUUCAUUUUUUGAGUUCCCUCAAAUUAAGGGGAUUUUGUAUCAGGAAGAAAAAAUAAAUUGUCAAAGAGGCCCUUAGGGUAUUCACUGAUUAAUCUGCAAUGUUAUUAUUGUUACUGUCUGUUACUACUCUUAAUUGGUUUCUGGUACUUGUAUUCCAUGGAUUCUUGCUUACUGGUUCUGCUAAUUUAAAGUAUAAACCUCUAAUUGCAGGGAACAUUGAAUUUAUCUCAAAUUAAGCAAUUCCCUCCUUAACCUAACUUGUCGAAUUCAGUUAGUUAUUGCAUACACUGCAUUGAUCUUGUGUUCUUGUAAUUAGUUCUUUCACAUUCAACUAAAAGUAACUGAGUUGGACAAAACAUUACAACCUAAAACCUUGUUGAAUUUAUGGGACAUCUCACUUAUAUAUUGCUCCAGUUUCACAUUUUCAUACAAUGUGAGACUUCUACCUCGCUACAUAAGAAUAAUAAACAAAAAGCUAAGCAAAUUAAGCAAAUUGUGGUAAAAAGAACAUGAUAUUAUUAAGGCUAAUGAUAUUAUCAUAUCAUUUGUAUUCGUCCCUUCUUUUUCACAUCAUGCAUGUUGCAAUAUUAUUAUUGAAACAAUGACAACACAUUUGUUAGAAACUUUGGGAUUAGACGCUUCAAAUUGAAAAUACAUUUUUUUAUUUAUUUAAUUGAUAGAAAGUACUAUCCGUUACAUGAUUAAUUUGAUUCAAAGAAUAUUUAUUAAGAUACUGAUUGAGAACACAAAAUUAGCAAGAAAAUGGAGAGAAAAUGAUCAAAUGUAUUAUGAUUCUCACUUAACAAUUACAAUGGUCAUGUUCACUGUUAAUAGAGAAACUAGUGACUACUCUAUCUAAUCAUGUUAAUCUUUACGUAAUCUAAGCCUAAGCUAACUGUUUCCUAACCACGUCUAUUGAGAAUGGAAAGUAAGAGUGUGAAUUUUCAUUAGAAUGAAACAAAGAGUGCAUCAAGUAUUUAUACAUUGUGAUUGUACGUAAUAUCUAAAACUGAACUGUACUACACAGUCCUGCAUUGACCACUUGUACUGCAAGCUAUCAGUGUUAGUGAGCUUUUGUUUCCCUUGUACUUCAUUGUGCAAUAUCUCCCUAGUUGAGGGUAGGUAGAUAUCUAACAUCCCCAAUUUGGAUAGUAAAAAAUUGAAUGGCUGUGGAAACAAGGAUUUGGUAAAAAAAUAUGUUAUUUGAUCUUGAGAGUUGACAUGAAGUAACUUGAAAAGACCAGUUUGCAGCUUCUCUCUGAAAAUGUGACAAUCAAUUUUCAGGUGCUUAGUAGUUUUGGCAUAAGUAAUUUGUAAAACUUUGCUAAGAUAAAUUAACCAUUGUACGAUUCACAAGUAGGGUGGGAAUAGAGCAGGCCUCUCCCCAUGGGCCUAUGACCGAGCCUAUUUAAAGCUCGGCUCGGCCUAACUCGUUUGUUAAAUAAGUUAGGCUCAAGCUUUUUAAAAAACUCGCGUUAAUUUAAAUAGGCUAGGUUAAGGCUUAUAGAAAAGCCUACUGGGCCUACCAGACCGGCCAUAUAUAUGUAAUUAUAUAUAUUCCAUUAUAAAAUACACGUUUAUUAGCCUCUACACAAUGGAUGUGCUAGGUCUACAAAAUUUUAUAGGAUAUACAUGCAAUUGCUUAUAAAGUGGAGGAAAAAUGGAUAUACAUGUUUUACGAAAUUUUAUUCGCAUAUUAUCCUUUUUAUAAAUAGGUCAAAUGUUCUAUUUAAAAUUGUUAGUAGAAAGUAGGCUUUUAAACAGACUAGUAAGUCAAAUCAGGUCUAAAAUAAAGCCUUCGACACGCUAAUAGGCCAGGCUUAAGCUUUAGUUUUUCAACUAGGCCUGGCCUAUUUAAGCAAAGUUCGGCUCAACCUUGCAUAUUCCCACCCAUAUUCACAAGUAGCAGAAGUUAAGGCACCGAUCUAGAGAUUGUAACUUACUUUUUUAUUCUCCAGGAAACGAGAGACUGUCCAAGAAAGAAAAUUGGCCUGAUAUGGGCACCGAUCUAGAGAUUGUAACUUACUUUUUUAUUCUCCAGGAAAUGAGAGACUGUCCCAGUUUGCAUUAGUGAAACCUUUAAGUUAAAGGGUUCAUGAUCUAUAAAAGAAAAUGCCACGACUCGGACAUCCUUUAACCCAAAUUUAUCAAGAGCUCCUUAUUGUGAUUUUAUUAGCUCUACAUUUCGUUUUUUUUAAUAAGAAUUCACUUUCAACAAAAAUCAAGAAUUGAAUUGGAAAAAAAGGGUGAAAAAACAUGCAAAGAAAAGACUCUAACUUAUCUCUCUCACUUCUCUCUACAAACAAUAGCCAAACACAACCGACUUUCCCUACCAAAAUCCAAAUCCCUCCUUUCAAGAUGUAGAUCUUGAAGGUGACUGGUGAGCUCGCCGUCUCUUGAGCUGCACCACUUGGGGGAUGUCGUCCCUUUUCGCCGUUUUGGGUUUCUCUCACCUCUCCGCCUACGGUGCCGUUUUUGCUUUAGAUCUCCUCCGUCCGUUGUGGUCUGGUGGUGGUUUGAUUCGGGCUCGUACCUUCGCCUCCAAGUUGUCUCCUGGUUGUGGUUCACAGAUUUCUCGGUGGUGGAGCGUUGCUGAAUAUAGGUGGUUUUGUGUUGGCUUCUCUCUUCCUCACCUUGCACGACCUUUGUUUUGUGGUUCCUUCAUCAAAUCUGUUGAGAUCUUCAGAUUCUCUGGUUGUUGUUUCGCUACCACCACGUCGAUGCUCUUGGAGGCUAUUUUUGGUCGUUGCUUUGUUAUGUGUCGUGUUUGUUUUUAUCAUCGGUUGUGUUUGUUGUUACUAGAUUGGGAGGGUUCAGAUAUGACCUUUUUGAAGUGGAUUGUUUCGUAAACCCUAACGGGUCUGUUGUGAUUCUAAAACCCGGAGGGGUCUGGUUCGUUUAAUCCGAAAGGGUCUGGUAGUUGACGUAUUGGACUCAUCCCUCGAUUUAAGUUCUUGCGCGUUGUUUUGCUCGAAAGGGCAUUUUAUGCUUGCUAUUGAUCAGGGAGCUGUUGACACUUGGAUUUGUUACCGUGUUGGCGGUCGAUCCAUUCGCCAUUCUUAAACUCUAGUUGUUCUCGACAAAUUCUUAGUAUACUUUUUUUGUAACCUUAUUUCGCGCCCGUACGCGGGUUCACUGGUUUGCGCCUGUGAUUAGUGUUUUUUUGUUAGAAUAGAUUAGAAUCGAACCAUUUUGAACUGUUUUCUCAUGAUGUAUUCCCAGUUGGGUUAUUCCUAGGUCAGGUGAAAUGCCCGCCAGUCUUUGUAACACUUUCUUUCUAUUUUGCCUAAAAAAAAUGGGGAAAAAGGGCAAAAAUCGAUUCAAUACAGUACACACUAUAUACAUUAUUCAUGUGUGCGGUGUACAAUAUUUCAAUCGGAAAAAGGCAACACUUCGAUAAUAUUAUUAUUAUUCACGCGUGUACAAUACAUGCUUCAAUUGUAAAAAAUAAAAAUCAAUUCAAUUAGAAUUCAAAAAUGGAUUCAAUUGGAAAAAGCAUAAAUCAAUUCAAUUAGAAUUCAACACCUAAAGCAAUUAGAGAAUUGAAACAAUCAUUAUCAAAGAGAAUUGGAAUAAGAAAAAAAAAACAUAAACCUAAAACAAUACAUCUGAAGAGAGAAUGAUUUAAGAAAAUUGUGAGAAUCAAUAAUGAUUUUCUUACAAAUUGCAAUUGCUUGGUUUUGUUUUUGGAACUUUUUGGUUUUUCUCAUCCAUUUUUCUAAUUGCACAAAAAGAAUUUUUAUUUAAAUGUGUUUUUUAGAGUUGGGUCUUUUCAAUUACAAAAGAAAAAAUUAUCUCUUUAGGGGGCCUAAGAGAUAUGGGGGGCCUAAAAUGUAACCUUCUUGCAUGAAAGACAUUUUUUUUCUUCCAAUUUUUACUAUUUGGGCUGAGAUAUGGAUUUUAAUAUUGCCCUGCUAAUACUAAUUGCUAUAGGCACCCCAAUUUUUCUUACUUUUGCUAUAUGCACCCGCCAUCUAAAAAUAAAUUGGGCCCCAUACUGGAAAGGGCCUUAGGCUGUCGCACCCCCGCCCUAUGCCUAGGUUCGGCCCUGCUGUUGAAGGAUGAUCAACUAUUUUCCACGUACUAGUUUGAUCAAGAGCAUUAAGUUCAUUUUGCAUCGCUUGCUUCCAACAAUCAAACUUGAUAGCCUCGACAUAUGAUGUAGGUUUAAUAUUUUAUACAAGAGAGAAUGCAUAUUGUGAGUGAGAUGCAUAUGGUUUAUUAUGAGAAAUGAAAUUGGAUAAAGGAUAUUUACUAUUAGAAGAAUUGAUGUCUGAAGUAGGAGAUGCAUUGCAAAUAAAAUCUGGUAAGUAAGAAUGAGUCUUUCUAUUUCUAAAGGAGACUCUAAAUGGAGGAGAUGGAGGUAUGGGAAUGGGAGAUGGAGGAUUAGGAGGAGAUAGAGUACUGAUAGUAUCAACUAUGACAUGAGAGUGAGAUGUAAAGGAAGGAAAAUACUCCCAGUCAGGAGCAAAAGUUGAUGAUGUGGAAUUAUAAGGAAAUAUCGACUCAUGAAAAACAACAUUUAUGGAAAGAAUAUUUCUUUGGAAAGAAUAUAAAAAAGAACAUAACCUUUAAAACAUGUAAAACAACAUAAGAGCAAAAAAUAUUAGGUAGUAGUAUAGAUUGAAAUAAAAGGGAACUAUCCACAUUCAAGAUAUGCUGAUGUUUUAUUUCCACCCUACCAUUCUGCUUGGGUGUCUCAAUACAAGAAUUUUUUUGUAUGUUUCCUUUGUAGACAUAAAAUUCAGUGAUUAGGAAUUUAAGUCCAUUGUCAGACCUGAUAAAAUUUGGACUGAUAUGAUGAUGGUUAUCAAUUAAUUGAAUGAAAUUUCUGAUAUAAGAAAACACUCCCUCUUUAGAUUUAGGCUUUGUUUGGUUGGUGAAUGAAAGUGAAAGGAAAGAAAGAGAAAGGAAAGAUUGUGUAAGGAAUGAAAGAGAGUAGAAAGUGAGAUGAUUGUUAUGGUUGUUUGGUAGAAGAGAAAGUAGAAAGAAAGUAAGAGGAAAGAAAGAUAUGUGUUUAUUAUUGACAUAAAUACCCUUGUAUAUUAAUAAAAUAUUAAUAUAUGCAAUAUAUAUUAUACAAACAUGCCAAAAAAAAUAAGAGAAGAAAAAGAUGAAUAUUUGUAUGUGUAUUGUUGUCACAACAUUAUGUAUCAUUUUUUGUGGACAUUUAUAUAUUGUUUAUUUCAUAAAAAGCAUGUGUUACAUAUUGUUAAUAUUAUAUUAUUAAAUAGGGUUAUUUUUGUCUUUUUAAGCAAAACAUUGUCACACCUCAUGUUUCCAUUCAAUCUAGUGAAGAAAGAAUUUAUUUGUGGGUCCCAUCUUAAACUUUCUUUCCUUUCUUAUUUGUUGAAGUUCCAAACAAUGGAAAGAAGAUCUUUCCACAAUCUUUCUUUCCCUCUUCUAAUCCUUCCACUAAACCAAACAAGAGAAUGGUGCAAGUGAAUCUACUAUAAUAAUAAAAUACUUAGGGCCAUGAACAAAUGAUAUGGCAAGAGGACCCCAAAUAUCAAAGUGUAAUAAUUAAAAUUUAGAAGAAGCAAUAGAUGAACUUAAAGUAUACAGAAAUGAUAUUUGAACAACCAUUUUUUGACAACUUUCUCUCUCAUACUCACAUUAUUCUUUUACUUUCUCUCUCUAUUGCUUUGAUUUUUGUGUUACUAUCUAAAUUUCUUUGUAUAAUUUAGUUGUCUAAAAAGUUGUCACAAGAAAUGGUUGUUCAAAUAUCAUUGCUCUAAUUUUCUGAUUUGCAAAAUGACAAAUAUCACAUGUAGCUUUAUUAUCAACAAAAAUAGAAGGGUACAAUUGAUGCAUCUGUGACAAUAUUUGAUUAGACAUAUGACCUAAACUAAAGUGUGAAAUAGCAUAUGCUGGAUUACUAGAAUGACAAUUAUAAAUUUUAUUUGAAAAAUGAGGACAAUGAUUGUGAUGAAAAAUGAGUAUUAAUUUAAUUUCGGAUUGAGCCCCUUUUUGUAAUAAUUAUAUUAUUUUAAUUUCGGAUACGUCUGAAGACUUAAAUGGCAUAUUUGUGAUAUGAACACUAAAAUGUUUGUCUGUUUCGCAUAAAUGUUUUUGGCUUUAUUACAAGACUCUAAAGUCUAAUCGACUAAAAGUCCUCCAGCUAAUCAAGUAUAUAAGGCCAUGUUGUACAAGGAUUAUCAGCAUUUUUAGCAAUUUUUUUCAUUUUGUAUAAUAAAGUUUUGAUAAAGAGUGUUUCUGGUACACUUUUUAAAGAUCUUAAAUUUAACAAUUAAUCUUUCAAAAAAUCAUGUAUUAUAAUUUCUAGUAGAAUUAAAAUACUAUUUUUUAUCCUUUUAGUUUGACUGAAUUUCUAAGUUAGUCCUUUAAGUUUUAAAAGUUUCAAUUAUAUCAUUUUAGUUUGACAGAAUUCCCAAGUUAGCCCUUUAAGUUUCAAAAGUUUCAAAUAGAUCUUUUUAGUUGAUAAACAAUUUCACCGUUACCCCUGCUGUCAGUCUCCGUUUAACUGAUGCUGAUGUAACCAUUAAGUUGAUGACUUAAUGCUGCCUUUUAAAAGCUCCAGGUGUCAAAACGCUAUGUUUACAGUGAUAGUGCUAGAAAAGCAACUAUUUACAACAACAAAUAUCUUUCUAUCACUAUUAAACGACAUUUACAGUGAUAGAAUGAUCAUUUAUAACUAUUAAAUGUAACUUUUUGACAUAUUGAAGCUUUUAAAAGGAAGCGAUUUGAUACAAAUCAACAAUUUAAAGACUACAUCAACAUCAGUUAAUUAUUAACUAACAGCAGGGGUAACGGUGAAAUAAUUUAUCAAGUGAAAGUACAUAUUUGAAACUUUUAAAAUUUAAAGGUCUUACUUAAGAAUUUUGUCAAACUAAAAAAUUUAUUUGAAACUUAUAAAACUUAAAGAUGAACUUGUAAAUUCUUUUAUUUCAAAUAAAUAUGAAAAGGAUUGUACGUCAGUAUCUAAUUAUAAAAUAAAAAUAAUUACCGAGAAUAUCAUGCUAGUUAUAAUUUUUAAACACAACAAUUAGAAUCAAAUUAAUAGAAAAAGUCCUAUUUGAAAACAAAACAAAAAAAUGUUAAUAAAGUGUUUUGAGACAUUGGUUAAGACUUUUAAAUGGUAACGUUUUAUGAAUAUAUAUGUACAAUCAAUGCAUUGAAAAUCGAAAUAUUUAAUUUUUUAUUAAAAUAAUUUCUUCUUUUAAAAUCUUUAUAAAGUGUCCUGAAAUACUCGUUAACAAUGCUACAAAAAUUUGUAAAACAAAAUAAAAAAUACUGAAAGAAAUUAAUUGACAAAGUCAUCCAUUUGUGUCAUUGAGUAACCAUUGAUCAUGAACACAACAAGCAUUUAAAACAAUACUCCCUCCGUCCUAAAUUGUAUGUUACUUUAGAAAAAAUAUUUGUCCUAAAUUGUAUGUCACUUUAGAAUACCAAUGAAACAUUAAUGUUACUUUUCCUAUUAUAUCCUUAACUAUUUAUUACUCUUUCUUUUUUCAAUUCUUUCAUUUAUCUUUCCCAUAUCAUUUAUUAAGGAUAAUUUUGUAAAACAAUUCAUAAUAUCUCUUUCCCACACAAUAUUAGUUACAUUUCUUAAUAUGUGUGAAAUGCCCAAAACGUCAUACAAUUUGAGACGGAGGGAGUAUAAAUUACACAUAAAUGAGCCAUCAGCUAACACCUUAAUUUCUUCUACUUCUUUCAUUAAAGAGGGGUGAUUUAGGGUCAAUUUUUGAACUCAAAUCACCCCUCUAAAUCGUUUUUCUCCUUCCCUCUUAUUUAAAUAAGUGAUUUUCACAUCGAAUUAGGUUUUUCUUUCGUGAGUUCGUCGUCUUAGUGUGACAUUGUUUUGGUUGUCGUCUUUGUGCGGUGUUGUUUGUCUUUUCCCUCUUGUUUAGGUGUUUGUUUGAAUCAGAUUGUCAGAUCAGAUUCGAUCCAGUGCAAAUCGAACCAAUGACUUUGACGUCAUCAACGUUGUAGAUCCGGAGACAUGACUAUAACAGAGAUUUUUAUAGUCAUAUUUGUAGGCUUAUGUACUUUUCCGUUUUAUGCUAUUAGCAUGGAUGUUGUGAGUUUGUUCACAGAUUCAUCCUUUAUAUUUUUAACGAAUUUGUAUUGUAGCGAUGUACUCUAUCAAUUUAAAUGAAUGAAUGUUGUUUGUUUUGUAUAAAAAAAUAAAUAUAAAUUUCACAUAAUGUACAAAAUUAGAACAGUGAUUGUAUAACCCUUAUAUAAAGAUCUUUUUGCUAGAAAAAAAAAGAAAAGAAUAGUGGCCAUCUACGUGAUUGUCGGAAACCAUAAACUGUUGUUUCUCCAAGAAGUGGUGGUGAAUAUGAUGAAGCUUCCAAGAACAAGAUUCAAACAAAACAUUCACACAAGAAAAAUUGGUGAUCAUUGAAUGCUGUUCAGAUCACUCCCUUAUUUUUGUUUCUUCUUCUUUUUCUUUUUCUUUUUCAUGUUUGAAUUUCGGUUGUGUGAAAUGUGAAUACUUGUAUAUUUUUUUGAAGACUUGCUUGAAAAGAGUUGACUAUUCAACCUUUCUUGUUACAUGAUCAGUGUUCUCAAUGUAGAUCAUUGUUUCAAAUUGUUGUCCACAAGUGCAAUUAUAACUUCAAUGUAUCUGCAAUUUUAAAACCUCUGUAGCUUUUGGUAGAGUUAGGAUUAGUUUAUGUAGUUAAUUGAGUCAAAUUCCAUACUAUGUUCUAAGCGGUUCUCUCUUUUAGACCAUGAUGAAUAUUUGUGGAACAUUGGAUUUUCUUUACAGUUUUGUGCAGUUUAUGUCAACAACUUAGUUCCUAUACCACUUCUAUUUUAGAAUCAUUAUUUUUUUACUAUAAUAUUUUAGAAUCAUUGCAUUCAAAGAUUUUUUUUACUAAUCUUGUAUGUCUCUUGUCUUUUUCUUUCCCUUUAACCAAAAAAGAACAGGUACACAUUUGCUUUUGCAGGUAAGAUGCUUUUGUCUAUCGAUCACCAAUUAUUGUUCCUUGCUUUAGCUAGUUUAAUAAUAAUAAUAAUAAUAAUAAUAAUAAUAAUAAUAAUAUUAUUAUUAUUAUUAUUAUUUUUUUUUUUUUUUUUUUUUCACUCAUCCACGCUAGACGGAGUCUUUAACUUAUUUUUUAGUAAAAUAAAACCUAUCAUAUAACUUACGCAUGCGUCAGAUCUCAAUAUUAAGAUGUGUUGCUAAAAAUAAUAAUAAGUUGCUUCAUCUAUUUAUUUAGCACCAUCUUAGAUAAACAUUUUAUUAUUAUCGAUGCUUAUUAAAAAGAUAAAUAUGAAAACAUCCUCUUUUUUCACUUUUUAACUAAAACAUAUGUCUACUAAGUACACUCAAAUGGUAAAAAAAACUAGUAGAACACUUAAUAUCUUGGACAAGAUUUGCGAACUCGUCGUAAUCUCCACUUUUCCAGCACUUGAGUGAAUAAAAUAAAUUACAUGAUAUGAUGUAGUUUCCCGAUCUAGUUGACUAUGUGCAUUAUUGACCUUAUAUACUUUCACCAUAUUUUUCUAAUAAUAUAUAAAAAUAAAUAAUAGUAUCAUAUAAAAUGUUAGAUUUGUCUCGUUGAAUAUUUUUAAAAUAUUAAAUUUUCAUAAUUUUUUCUAUUAGAUAAUUAAAGAUGUUAAAGAUAAAAAAAAUAUGAAACAAAUGAGUCAAGUGACAGAGUCAACUGUGCCAUUUUAUAUGAGACCGAGGAAGAAGUAACAUAUAUUAUGAAACAAAUGAAAAUGGGAGAUCAUUAGAUAUCUCCAAAUAAUGUCUCCAUAUACUAGAUAAAAGUUCCAAUAGUUCCAAUUUUUUGUUUUUCAUUUAAUUUAAUGUUUUUAACAAACUACUAACCCACCAUGAAAAAUUAUAGGACAUGUACGACAAUACAUUAUUCUUAAGAGGAAGUUCAAUAGUAAGCAGAUGCAUUAUUGACAUAGCACUACAUCAUUCUCAAGCCAUUAGACACAGGCUACUCAUACUUCACUAUGAUAGCACAUAUAAUCUUUUGGCUUUUCUUAAUACCAUUCAGCAUAAUAAAUUCCAGUUCUAACAAUUUUGUGGUGAAUGGCUACUGUCAUGGCCAUCAACGUUCCUUGUUGCUCCAAUUGAAAAACAACCUGAUAUUCAACUCCGAAAUAUCUUCAAAGCUAGUUCAUUGGAAGCAAAGUGAACAUGAUUGUUGCCAAUGGGAUGGGGUAACAUGCAAAGAUGGACAUGUUACAGCCCUUGAUCUUAGUCAAGAGUCUAUUUCCGGAGGACUUAAUGAUUCAAGUGCUCUUUUCAGCCUGCAAUACUUGCAGAGCCUGAAUUUGGCUUUGAAUAAGUUUAAUUCCGUGAUUCCUCAAGCGCUGCAUAAACUGCAGAAUUUGAGCUAUCUCAACUUGUCCGAUGCUGGCUUUGACGGGUAUGUCCCAAUAGAAAUUUCUCACCUCACAAGGUUGGUUACUCUUGAUUUGUCAUCUACGUUUAUUUCACAUCAGAGCCUAAAACUUGCAAAGCAAAAUAUGGCGAUACUUGUGAAAAACCUCACAAAUAUCAUAGAAUUGUAUCUAGAUGGUGUGGCAAUAUGUACCAGCGGAGAGGAAUGGGGUCGUGCUUUAUCUUCUUUGGAGGGUCUUCGUGUUUUAAGCAUGUCAUCCUGCAAUCUCUCUGGACCUAUUGAUUCGUCACUAGUUAAGCUUCAAUCACUCUCUCUUCUAAAAUUGAGUCACAAUAAAUUGUCCUGCAUAGUGCCGAAUUUCUUUGCAAAUUUUUCCAAUUUAACCAUCCUACAGCUCAGUAGUUGUGGCUUGCAUGGUUCUUUCCCAAAAGAUAUCUUCCAAAUACACAAAUUGAAUGUUCUUGACAUAUCAGACAAUCAAAAUCUCAAUGGCUCAUUGCCAGACUUUCCACCACUUGCAUCUCUUCACUACUUAAAUCUCACCAAUACAAAUUUCUCAGGACCACUUCCAAAUACUAUCUCCAAUCUAAAGCAGUUAUCAACAAUUGAUCUAUCUUAUUGCCAAUUCAACGGAACACUUCCCAGUUCAAUGUCAGAACUCACCCAACUUGUGUAUCUAGACAUGUCUUCCAACUACCUCACAGGUCCACUCCCUUCUUUCAAUAUGUCGAAGAAUCUCACAUAUCUAUCCCUAUUUCUCAAUCAUUUGAGCGGGGAUUUACCAUCCAGCCAUUUCGAGGGGCUUCAAAAUCUUGUAAGCAUUGAUUUAGGGUUCAAUUCUUUCAAAGGUAAAAUGCCCUCAUCUCUACUUAAGCUCCCAUAUUUGCGAGAACUAAAGCUUCCCUUUAAUCAAAUUGGUGGUCUCUUAGUUGAAUUUGAUAUUGCAUCCUCAGUAUUAGAGAUGCUUGAUUUAGGAAGCAAUAACUUACAGGGACAUAUUCCAGUCUCUGUCUUUAACCUUAGAAAACUUCGUGUCCUUCAACUUUCUUCCAAUAAGUUGAAUGGCACAAUACAAUUGGACAUCAUUCGAAGGCUGAGUAAUUUAACUGUACUAGGCCUCUCAAAUAACUUUUUGUCAAUUGAUGUCAACUUCAGAGAUGAUCAUCAAUUGUCACUAUUUCGAGAGAUAAGAGUUGUUCAGUUGGCUUCAUGCAACUUAAGGGGAAUCCCAAGUUUCUUGAGAAACCAGUCGAAAUUACUAUUUCUUGACAUAUCUCGCAAUGAUAUUGAAGGGUCGAUACCUAACUGGAUUUGGAAACAUGAAUCUCUCCUUAACUUGAACCUUUCCAAGAAUUCUCUGACUAACUUUGAAGAAACUAGUUGGAACUUGAGUUCUAACCUUUAUAUGGUUGAUCUUAGUUUUAACCGGUUGCAAGGGCCUAUUUCCUUCAUUCCAAAGCAUGCUUUUUAUUUGGACUACUCAAGCAAUAAGUUGAGCUCUAUUGUACAACCAGACAUCGGAAACUAUCUCCCUGCCAUAAAUAUAUUGUUUCUUUCAAACAAUAGUUUUAAGGGAGAAAUAGACGAGUCCUUGUGCAAUGCUUCAUACCUACGCUUGUUAGAUCUCUCCUACAACAACUUUGAUGGGAAGAUUCCUAAGUGUUUUGCAACCUUGAGUAGCAGACUGUUGAUGUUGAACUUUGAAGGUAACAAGCUUCAUGGUCAUAUCCCUGAUAUUAUAUCCCCAAAUUCAUGUGCACUAAGAUAUUUGAAUCUGAAUGACAAUCUAUUGAACGGUAGCAUACCCAAAUCUUUGGUCAAUUGCAAUAAACUGCAAGUCCUAAACCUUGGAAAUAAUUUUUUAAGUGACAGAUUUCCAUGUUUCUUAAGCAAUAUUUCCACCCUGAGAAUCAUGGUUUUAAGGUCAAAUAAGCUCCAUGGGUCUAUUGGAUGCCCAACUAGAACUGGUGACUGGAAGAUGCUUCAUAUUGUUGAUCUAGCCUCCAAUAACUUGAACGGAAGAAUACCAGUCUCCCUAUUAAAUAGUUGGAAGGCAAUGAUGCGUGAUGAAGAUGUUCUUGGGACAGAAUUAGGCCAUUUGUUUUUUGACAUUGAUGAUAACUUCCAUCCUAUGAGUUUUAAGGCUAUGUUACCAGCUUUGGACAAACGUGUGUCAACAAAUUUGAUUCCAUUCCUUGAAAACAUGUCUCGCUCUAUUAUUGACCAGGAGUAUGCUAAAUUAAAAAUUCUUGCUCGUUAUCAGGUUUCAAUUAAUAUUGUCAACAAAGGCCAUCAGAUGAAGCUUGUCAAAAUUCAAAGUGCCUUAACUUAUGUUGAUAUGUCAAGCAAUUACUUAGAGGGGCCAAUACCGAAUGAGUUAAUGCAAUUCAAGGCAUUGAAUGCUCUAAACUUGUCACAUAAUGCAUUAAUGGGUCAUAUACCAUCAUUAGUGGGGAAUUUGAAGAAUCUUGAGUCUAUGGACAUUUCAAACAACUCCUUGAAUGGAGAGAUUCCUCAAGAGCUUUCAAGUCUAUCUUUCCUAGCAUAUAUGAAUCUCUCGUUCAAUCACCUAGUUGGACGAAUUCCUUUGGGUACUCAAAUUCAAACAUUUGAUGUAGAUUCCUUUGAAGGGAAUGAAGGAUUGUGCGGACCUCCACUGACCAAGAUAUGUGAACUUCCACAAUCAGCAUCUGAAACACCUCAUUCCCAGAAUGAGAGUUUCGUUGAAUGGAGUUUCAUAAGUAUUGAGUUGGGAUUUCUUUUUGGCUUUGGAGUUUUCAUCCUUCCUGUUUUUUGUUGGAAGAAAUUGCGGUUGUGGUAUUCCAAACACGUAGAUGAAAUGCUUUACAGGUUCAUCCCCCGGCUAGAUUUUGUGUAUGAACAACAUGAAGGGAAGAGAUACAAAACUCUAAAGUGGAUGUACUGACUAUUGGACUCUUGGGUUUUGCACUCUUCAAUUUUAUGGGUUUGUAUUUCCUCACCUUUCUUUGUUUAAAAGCUGUAGUAUCAAAAUAAAGAGUCACCGUUAACAAGUACUCUUCAACAUUACCGUUGUUAAAGCCUGCGAGUCACUGUUAACAAGUCCCCUUGAACAUUACCACUGCAGUUAGUUCGUUAUCUAUUUUUAGAAAUAACCACUCUGUAUUAGAGUGUAUCUGUUACUAUUACAGUUUUAUGUACCAGUUAUAUGUACUUCAAAAGUUAGUUUAACACUGAAUUUUUCUAAUGUCUCCGCUGCUAUUUCUGUUACUAAUUUAUGGUUGUUCUAUUCCAUGGAUUCUUAUUUACUGUAGGUUAUUUCGUAGUUCUGUGAUGGAGUUUUAUAUUGUUCUAUAUGUAUCUACUGCAAACUUAAUGUUUCCUUGCUCCUUCACAGUUUCAUAGAUUAAUAUUAGUCCUUAGUAGUAGAAUAAUGCUUAAUUUUUCCCUGGCUUCUUAUUUUCCUUUUUAACAUCUUCUUUUGCAUUUGGCAGAUUAAAGAAAACUUCAAAAUGCUAAUAAAUACAAUUAGCCCCCCAUCACUAUCUAGCACUGUGUCCCUUAUAUUUCCUCGCCAAUUUUUGCUCGUCCUUCUCCAUCAACAGUUUACAAAACGCACAUCUAUCUAUCUAUCUAUAUUAAUUUAGACACCAUAUUACUUAUGCUGCCACGUAUAAUCUAUUCCAUGAUCCUCAUUUCUUAUUUGUUUGCUAAGAAACGAAAUGCAUUCCUUUGUUGGCAGUUACUCAUAACUCCAUCAAUUACUUUCUUUUGUUGUUACUCUACCUUAUUCUUCCAUAAUAACUCCAUUGAUGGUUGUUUGUGCAUAUGGGAAAAUUGCACCAUUAUUUAUUCACCAAAAUAAAAUAGCUACGGAACCAAAAUAUUAACUUUUCACAAACACCUAAUUUAUACCAUAAGCAACAUCACUCUUGCCAGCUGAACCCGCAGACACCCCUCUCUGCAGGGUCCACCUUGUGAAAACAAACACCUCAACUCAUUCACGGCGCACAUACAUUAUGCGACUUGGAUUUGCACAUUCAUCCUUUCCAUCAUGUUCUCUCUUCACUUUGUGCUUGGAUCUGCAGUUAGCAUUUUCAUCGUCUCUAUUCAUUUGCCUCCGUUAAUCUUGCAAAUUGGGCAUUAUUCUGUUUUAAAUUAACACGUUCUAUCUUUUUUACAGUAUAUACAAUCAAAAUAUGGCCUUAAAUGUCACAAUCACACACAAGAAGUGGAGUUCAAAAUUUGGCACGGGGGGCAUCUAGGUCUGAAAUAAUAACGUAAUUUAUAAUGUCAAUGAAUCCUUCAAAUUACAAUUUCUGGUGUUUCUUUAGUCCUAUUGAAGUUUAUCUGCAAACUAUGUGUUUGUCUUUAUAGCAGCGGAAAUACUUUUUCUCUAUUGUCAAAUAAAUUCGAUGAAUAAUGCAAUUCAAGUAUAAUCCUCAGUAGUGGUUACUUUAGAGUCUUAUAAUUUUAGCAGUAAAUUGUUUGUCAAGUAAUUUUUUUCUUGUGAAACUUAAUUAAAGUUUGAGUGUCAUUUUAAAUUGGACAUAGUUAUGUAAUUCAUAUAGCCUCAUUUAUAUAUAUUCUUCAAAUUAAAUUACAUGAACUUUUUUUAUUUAAAACUUUCAUGUUUUCUCCAUUUUAACUUCCACCAAACUGGAAUAUAGCAUCGUAGCUUUCAUUGUGGGAUCUCAUUUUCCACACCUAUAAGGUUCAAAUUAUGGAUUUUCUACGGUCAUUAUAAUUGGAAGGUCUAAAAGGAUGCAAAAGUUACUCCAAGAGAAGUAAAUCCUACACCCAAUUCAAGUUAUUUUGGUUUUUAUGAUAUUAUGACUACUAUAUGAAUCAAAUCAAAUUAUUUUAGAAAACAUGCAAUAUAACUCUCAAAUAUAAGAAACAAAAUCCUUGCAAUGCGCGGGUCUCAAUCUAGUAGGUUUAAUAUAUCACCAACAACCUCACCAUGCCCAGCAACAUCAAAGUAUAUUUGUGUUCUAACAUACACUUGAAAAUCGUGGUUAAUGACUGUUGAAAAUUAGCUUCAAAUUUGUGGUUUGAAAGAACAGAGAAAUCGUGCACGAUUUCAUCAACGUGUCAUGAUUUUCAAGCAGGGAGCAUGGUUUCUCAGGUUGCUCAAUCGUGUCACGAUUUUGGAAAAACGUGACACGAUUUUCAAACUUGUUGGGUAUGUUUUCAGGAUAAGGUUGAUCGUACCUUGGGUCGUACGCACCAAUCGUGCCACGAUUUUGACAGCUGAAGACUGCUAUAUAAGUGUUCUUGAGCAGAUUUUGAAGGAGAGCUGGAAGAGAGAGAAACUUGGAUUACAAAGGAGGUUACUUUAGGGUUGAGUGUCUUUGUAGUGAGGAUCUCUUGGGUUGGGAAACAUUGUAAACACCUUGGGUAGUGAGAUUUCACCAUUGGAAGAAUCAAAAGCUUUCUUUUGUGUCUUCUCUUUAGGGUUCAUCAUUGAGAGAGUGAGUAACACAAAUGGGUAGAAAUUAGGUCUUGUUCUUGUGUAAGCUUGCAAGCUAUUUUCUUGUAACUCUUUGCAACACUUUCAUCAUAGUGGAUUGGAGAGCUGCUCUCUCCUCCAGAUUAGGUCAUAUUGGACCGAACUGGGUCAACAAUCUUUUGGUGUGUUUCUUCCUUUCUUUCAUUGCUUAUCUUUGUGCUUUGUUUAUGCUUGUGGUGUUGCUCUACACUAAUUAGUCUAGGUCUGUUUUUGUUGUUGUUGCUUGGAGACACUUUACACAUUGAUUACCACUUCCUUUGCUCCACACAUCUUUGUUUUUAUUUUUUUUGGUAGAUACACGAAAUGGCAAAGCCAUUAUAAACUCACACACACAAGUGGAGGUACCGGGGUUCGAACCCCGGUCAUGACAUCCGGCCUAACAAUUUCGGCAUUUUGCCAGUUGAGCUAGGACUUCUGGAUCCACACAUCUUUGUUAUUCAUUGGUGUGAUUUUUACCGGAAUUCACAACAAUGACAUUCAAAGUUAUUAUUAAUUGUUCGUUGUUGAUGGCUAAUGAGUCACGACCUCUUAAUGAUUUCAUUAACCAGUAAUUGAAUUGCAUUAACCAUAUAUUAAAUUGUGUUAACCAUCUAACUAAUUGUCAGAUUUAAUAGAUACAUGAUGUUGCCUGAUGUGGGUUUGUGUGUUUUUGAUGACUAGGUUAGAAAACUCCAUUCCGUAGAAUGGGCAUAUUGAACCACACCCUCCACCCGACCACUGACGAAUCUCCUUUCCAUUAAACUUACUGAACUGAAGCUGUUAUUUCAGUUGAACUAGAAAAACUCAAUUGGAGAGAACAACUCCCAUUGACAUCGAAACAAAUGGUGAAAGUCUUCGCGAAGAGCUAGAUUUUGUUGAAGAAAUCAGAAGCAAAGUAGCACUAAAAGAAGCAGCAAUCAAGCAAAAUAUAGUUGUUAGAUAUGACAAAAAAGCGAAUAAGCGAGAAUUCGAGGUAGGCAAUCUAGUCCUCAUGAGAAAUCAGAAGGACGAGAAGGAUACAGAACAACUAAAGCUCUCUCUAAACUUGAAAACAAGAAUGGUAAGGCAGAACCCUAACUCGCCAUGGGAUCUUCACGAGUCGCACAAAGUCAUCCCUAUUCACUAUAUGAAUGAUGACUUGAAGGGAAACUAAUCUAGACUACCCAAAUGACCUUGAUUGUCCACCUAGGACCCAAAAACUAGGCACAAUUCACUAAAGUUCAAGGGAAAUUAUUCACACCCCCACUCAACUAGGAGGUGUGCUUGCAAAGGUCAGAAGUCUCGGAUCCCCAAGGAUUCUGAAAUGCUUCCUUCUCACUUAAAUAUGUAAUGUUUGAUGAUUACGAAACCCUCCUUCUAUAACUGACAACUGACGAAUGCCAGCCAUAUUAUUCUUAUGAUUGCCACUCUUCACCUAUAUAAGAGGGCUUUUCGAGCCCUCCAAGGUAGGAAUAUUUCAACCUUUACAUUUUUAUAAUAUAUUGCUCACAUAUUGACGAGCGUCAGAGUAAUUUCUCUAGACAACACCGCAUUCCAACCAGAAGUUGUUCAUCUUAAAAAUCGUGGUUGAAUCUAACACAACCCCACAAAACCGUGGUUGGGCCUAACACAACCCCACAAAACCGGCUUGUGAGAUGAGGAUUGCCCCUCUUAUAAACACAUUGUCAGACCAUGACUUGUCCAAUGUGGGACUCUUAACACACCCCUCACGACCAACAUUAUUGGGCUUGGUUCGUGGACAUAAAUGGUGGGUGGUCCGAUAGGGGAAACCUGAUAGCAGAUGACCCAUUGGAUCUUGGAGAGUGGUUUCUCUAGACAACUCCGCAUUCCAACCAGAAGUUGUUCAUCUUAGAAAUCAUGGUUGGACCUAACACAACCCCACAAAACCGGCUUGUGAGGUGAGGAUUGCCCCAGUUAUAAACACAUUGUUAGGCCAUGACUUGUCCGAUGUGGGACUCUUAACACACCCCCUCACGACCAGCACUAUUUGGCUUGGUUCGUGGACAUAAAUGGUGGGUGGUCCGAUAGCGGAAACCUGAUAGCAGGUGGCCCAAUGAUUUGAACUUCAUAACUGCAAAGAUUUGGUUCCAUGAUUUGAACUUGUGUGGCCUAUAAAUCACAAGAUAAUAACCACACCAUUGAGCUAAGGCUUGCCUUCUCUGAUAAUCGAAAAAGUAAAAUUAUAAACAUUUAUUAGUGUUUAAUUAGAGAAGUUAGAAUAGACUAACUAGAAGAACAAAUCAAAAUAGACCAAAUCACUAUGAAAAAUUGAAUUCAAUUGACUUAUUUAAAUGACCAUAUUUAGUUGGAAAUUAUUUGGUUGUUAUUGCUAUCUGUGUACUUAAAUUUAAAAUAAUAACACAAAUAGAGAAUUACAAAGUUCAAAUCAUUUUAGUCUAUAUAAAGGAACAAAUGUAUACAUUAUUAUUGACAAGCCAUUAGACACAAGCUACUCAUAAUUCACUAUGAGAGCACACAUAACCUUUUUGCUUUUCUUGAUACCAUUCAGCUUAAUCAAUUCCAACUCAAAUAAUUUUUUGGUUAAUGGCUACUGUCAUGGCCAUGAACGUUCUUUGUUGCUCCUUUUGAAAAACAGUUUGAUAUUCAACCCCAAAAAAUCUUCAAAGCUAGUUCAAUGGAACCAAAUUGAUGAUGAUUGUUGCCAAUGGAAUGGGGUAACUUGCGUAGAGGGACAUGUUACAGCCCUUGAUCUUAGUCAAGAGUCUAUUUCCGGAGGACUUAAUGAUUCUAGUGCUCUUUUCAACCUGCAAUAUCUGCAGAGUCUGAAUUUAGCUUUAAAUGUUUUUCGUGCUACAAUUCCUCAAGAGCUGCAUCAACUUCAGAAUUUGAGGUAUUUGAACUUCUCCAACAUUGGCUUUGAAGGACAGAUCCCUAAGGAAAUUUUUCACCUCAAAAGGUUGGUCACAUCAUGUCCUAAAACUUGAGAAUCCAAAUAUACACUACUAACAAAACAAAAAUUAGUGAGGGAAAUUUAGUGAGGGAAAACAUGAAAUCCCUCUCUAAUUCCGUCACUAAAUUUUGCAACCAAGGAAUUUGUGAGGAAUUUUAUGUUUUCCGUCACAAAUUUUCCUCCCUAAGUUUGCUUUUCCUAGUAGUGAUAGGAAUGUUUGUGAAAAACCUCAGAUAUCACAAAAUUGUAUCUAGAUGGUGUAGCAAUAUCAGCCAGCGCAGAAGAAUGGGGUCGUUCUUUAUAUCCAUUGGGGGGGCUUUGUGUGCUGAGCAUGUCAUCAAGCAAUCUCUCUGGACCUAUCCAUUUUUCGCUAGCAAGGCUUCAGUCACUCUCUAUUCUAAAAUUGAGUCACAAUAAUUUGUCAAGCAUAGUGCCAGACUCCUUUGCAAAUUUCUCCAAUUUAACAACCCUACAAAUCAGUAGUUGUGGCUUGAAUGUUUUUCUCCCAAAAGAUAUAUUCCAAAUCCACACAUUAAAGGUCCUUGACAUAUCAUACAAUCAAAAUCUUAAUGGUUCUUUGCCAGAUUUCUCACCACUUGCAUCUCUUAAGUAUUUAAAUCUUGCCUAUAGAACUCACCCAACUUGUUUAUUUAGACUUGUCAUUUAAUAACUUCACAGGCUUACUCCCUUCUUUAAGCAUGUCCAAGAACCUCAUAUAUAUAUCUCUCCUUCGAAAUUAUUUAAGGGCAAAUUUACCAUCCAACCAUUUUGAGGGCCUCAUAAAUCUUGUUAGCAUCAACUUAGGGUUCAAUUCUUUCAACGGGAAUGUGCCAUCAUCUAUUCUUAAGCUCCCAUGUUUGAGAGAACUAAAGCUUCCCCAUAAUAAUCUCAGUGGUAUCUUGGGUGAGUUUCACAAUGCUUCUUCACCUCUAUUGGAGAUUCUAGAUUUGUCCAAUAAUUAUUUACAAGGCCCUAUCCCAUUAUCUAUCUUUAACCUUCCAACACUUCGUUUCAUUCAACUUUCUUUCAACAAGUUUAAUGGUACGAUAAAGUUGGAUGCCAUUAGAAGGUUAAGUAAUUUAACUAUCUUAGGGCUAUCAUAUAACAAUCUUUUCAUUGAUGUCAACUUCGAAGAUGAUCAUAACAUGUCAUCCUUUCCAAAGUUGAGAGGUCCAGGUUUGGAUUCCUACAAGCUGUUACAAUUUCCUAGUUUCUUGAGAAACCAGUCCACAAUAUUAUCUAUUCACCUAUCUGACAACAACAUUGAAGGACUAAUACCUAAGUGGAUUUGGCAUUGAAUCUCUCAUUACCUUGAAUAUUUCCCUUAAUUUUUUGACAGGUUUUGAAGAAAGUUUUUCAAACUUCAGUUCUAACCUUAACUCUGUUGAUCUUAGUUUUAACAACCUCCAAGGGCCAAUUUCUUUAGUUUCAAAGUACGCAACUUAUUUGGACUAUUCAAGCAAUAAAUUCAGCUCUAUCAUUCCACCAGACAUUGGGAACCACCUCCCUUACAUAAUUUUCUUGUUUCUUUCAAUCAACAAAUUUCAAGGACAAAUCCAUGAUUCUUUUUGUAAUGCAUCUAGUCUUAGGCUGCUAGACCUUUCCCACAAUAACUUUGUUAGGACAAUUCUCAAGUGUUUUGCAGCACUGAGUAGCAGUCUAAGAAUGUUGAAUUUCGAGGUCAUAUUCCAAAUGGUAUGUUUCAAAAUUCAUGUGCACUAAGGAUUUUGGAUCUAAAUGACAAUCUUUCAGAAGGUCCUAUACCAAAAUCCUUGGUCAAUUGUAAGGAACUUCAAGUCUUUAACCCUGGAAUGAAUGCAUUAACGGGCAGAUUUCCAUGUUUUCUGAGCAAAAUUUCACCGGAACGAUAUCAUCUGCACUCCUCAAUAGCUGGAAAGCAAUGAUGCGUGAUGAAGACGUGCUUGGGCCAGAAUUCGGAAAUUUGUUUUUUGAUGUUUUUGAUAACUAUCAUCCAACGGGUUUGCAGGAUGCAUUACGAAUUAUGAACAAACAUUAUGCUAGGAAAGUGGUUCAAAUUGUUUUAAAUAUGUCCCAUUCUGAUCUUGAUCAGGUGUUAUCUGACAGUAGUGCAAAAGAUUUGGACCGUGGUUGAUAUCAGGAUUCAGUUAUUAUUGUUAACAAGAUGAAGCUUGUUGUCGCAUAAUCAAAAUAUUAAUUAGAAUAUUAUACCAUUUAUACCGUUUAUUUUUCAAUUAUUGUAGGGUUAAUAGGUCUUUACCCCCCUGUAAUAUAGGUCAUUUUCGAUUUUCCCUCCUGUAAAAUAUUUUUUUUUAUUUACCCCCCUGUAAUUUUUUUUUGUUUUGAUUUACCCCCCUAAUAGGCCAAACAAAAACGAAAAAUUCUUGAAAAAAUAAAAUAAAAUUCGUUUUUGUUUGGCCUAUUAGGGGGUAAAUCAAAACAAAAAAAAAAUUAUAGGGGGUAAAUCAAAAUAAAUAUUUUACAGGGGGAAAACCGGAAAUGACCUAUAUUACAAGGGGGUAAAGACCUAUUAACCCAUUAUUGUAUUAUUAGGUAGUCAACUAUUGUCAUUAACCUGUAAUUAUGUAGGAUCUCUGCAAUUAAUUAGGAUUCUAAUUUUUUCUGUAUUAAAGAGACAAUUCCCCUGUACAUUUGAAUAUAUCAAGAAAUUAUUCUCCUCUCAUUCUUUUUCUACUUGGCAUCAGAGCAAUUUCUCUGCAGCCUACGCUGGACCUCUGUUCUUCCAUGACUGACAGUUCCUCAGUUAAUAGUGAAGAGGAGAAUAAAACUCUCAAAAACAUGUUGCCUAAAAAUGAGCAGAAGGUUGCUUAUGGCGGUGAUUCUCAUUCUAUCCAAAUCACCUCUUUUCGACUCAAUGGGUCGAACUAUUUUAGGCGGUCUCAAUCUUUCUAGAUGUAUAUACGUGGCAAAGGAAAAAUGGGUUAUCUUACUGGUGAUCGCAAAGAACCAGAUGCUAAUGACCCACAACAUGAUGUGUGGGAUGCUGAAAACUCCAUGGUAAUGACAUGGUUGGUAAACUCCAUGGAAGGGGAAAUCAGCAACAACUAUAUGUGUUAUUCCACAACAAAAGAAUUAUGGGAAAGUGUGAAAGAAAUGUACUCUGAUCUGGAAAAUAAGUCUCAGAUCUAUGAACUUACAUUGAAGGCUAGAGAAAUUCGGCAAGGAAGUGAAAAUGUCACAAAAUACUUCCAUUCCUUAAAACGGAUUUGGCAAGAACUUGAUAUCUUCAACCCCUAUAAGUGGAAUUCAACCAAGGAUGAGAAACACCAUCAACAAACAGUGGAAGAAGGAAGAAUUUUCCAGUUUCUUACCUGUCUCCAUGAGGAGUUAGAUGAAGUUCGUGGAAGGAUCAUUGGAAGAUCAACCUUACCUUCUCUAAGAGAAAUGUUUUCUGAAGUUAGAAGGGAGGAAACUCGCAGGAGUUUCAUGAUGGCAAAGGCAAAAUCUGAUCCAUAUCCUUCUGAGUUGCACCUCAAAUAUGUCUGCGCCAUGGAUCAUAGAUUCAGGUGCUUCUGACCAUAUGACCGGCCUUUCUUCUCUAUUUCAAACAUAUUCACCUUGUUUUGGAAAUAAAAAAAUUAAAAUUGCAGAUGGAAGUUUUUCACCAAUUGCAGGAGAAGGAAAAAUUCCUUUAUCUACGCACAUUGAUUUAAAAAAUGUGCUACAUGUACCAAAACUUUCAUAUAACCUUCUCUCUGUUAGUAAAAUCUUCGAAGACUCAAAUUGUAACGUGAAGUUAUUUAACUCUCAUUGUAUUUUUCAGGACCGGAAUUCGGGGAAGAUGAUUGGCAGUGCUAAAAUGAUGUAUGGACUCUAUUACCUUGAGGGUGUUUUUGAGAAUAAAGUGGCUCUUGGCCUUAGUUGUAUCAGUUCUGCCUCUGUUAGGAAUCAAAUAAUGCUCUGGCAUAAUAGACUAGGGCACCCUAAUUUUCAAUAUCUUAGGCAUUUGUUUCCAGAUUUAUUCAAAAAUGUUAUAAUUGUUCUUCUUUUGAAUGUGAAAGUUGUUUUAUUUCUAAAAGUCAUAAAACUCCUUAUUCCUCUCGACCUUAUCAUGUAUCCAAACCUUUUUAUUUAAUCCAUAGUGAUGUAUGGGGUCCAUCUAAUAUUACAACUUGUUAUCGUGGUUUUUGGGUGCCAAGCCAUUAAUUGGACUUGAACCUUUUGACCGUUGAUAUCUCUCUUUUUUCUUGGGAAGGGUAAAAGGAGAAAAACCCUUGAGUUUCCAGAUUCGGGGGUCGUUUUCGCUACGGGAAGGUGUUAGGCACCCGGAGCGAUUAUGGUAUUCCAUAAGAACCGUUCUCCUAAGUUUAUUUCUACGCUUUAAUUUUAUUGCUUAUUUGUAAAAAAAGAAGGUGUGAUUAGUUAAGAAUGGGGGUGAGAAGAAGUAGAAUUUGAUUUUUUGUUUCGGCUUGGAUGAGUUUUGACUCAUUGCCUACGUACCGUUUUACGGGAUCAAAACCAGCGUAGUUCUUGCUAAAAAGACUUGUUGUUUUUUUUUGUUUUAAUUGUUUGAUUUUAAAUUUUGAAAAUGAUUUGAAGAAGGGGAUUGAGAGGCUUCAUGAGCAUUAGAGUAUGAAAAAGUGAGGGUUUGUUUAGUGAUUUUGCAAAAAAGUCUUAAUGAUUAGGUUUAUUUGAGAAUUUGAUUAAGAAAAUAAAAGGGGAAAAAUUAUUGGAGUUUUGACUCCAUUUUUAUGAAAAAAUAUUUGAAGUGAAUUUGUUUGCAUAUUUUUUGGAAAAAAUUGGAUUUUCUCUAAGUGUUCGAAACUAAGCGUUCAUCUAAUCAUGCAAUCCUAGCCAUACAUCUAUGCAUACAGUCCUAAGCAUACAUCUAGGGUGAGUGCGUGCGUGUCGGUGCGUCAUAGUGUCCAUAGUCCAUAUUACAAAAAUUGCCUAAAUACAUUCUAUGGCCCCUUUGCCAAGCUACAAACCAAUGAUAACAAAUUACAUUACCAAAUGAAUUAAAACUUGCAAAAACAUAAAUGCUAAGCUAAAGAAAGUGGAGGAGAUAGUGAAAUGCAAUGAGUGAAGUCACAUAAGGAACAAAAUGUUAGUGAAACAAGGAAAAAUAUAAUGGGAAUGAUAACAAAAUGCACCAAAUGAAUAUGCAACAAAAUUUAAUGAGCAAGAAUUAAAAGAACAAAGUAAAGAAAAUAAAUGCAAAAAUAAGCAAAUAAAUUCUAAAACUUAGAGGAAAAAUCAAAAUGAUAGAGAAACAUUUUUAGAAAAAUUUUGGAAGCAUAAAACACCAAGAAAGUGUAAAAAAGGUAUUAAAAAAAAAACAAUUAAAAAACAAUUAAAAAGAGGCUCAGCAGGAUUUAAUCUGGACCGUUGGAUGAAUCCAGAGGUCCAGAUCUAGCUCCCAAGAUCACAUCACAGCCACUGGAUCAAAGAUCCAAGGGUCCAAAAAAAAGCACAAAAGAUAGUGUAAAAUUGCAGGAAGCACAAUGACCGUUAGAUCAAAGAUCUAACGGUUCAAACAGAGGACACACCAAAUUUCACGCAGGAGAAAAUACAUACAAUUCAGAAUCACAACGCGUUGUAGCCGUUAGAUCAAGGAGAGAUCCAGAUCGAAUGGCUAUUAACGCGAUGAAGUGCUGAGUUAACGUACACACACAUACAUAGGAACGGCCAAAAAAGCAUUAUAAAAAGAGUUUUCCACAAAAAAAACAUCACAACACACAAACGCUUCUCUCUCUAAGGUUUCCUAGAGAGAGAAGCUCUGCAACAAGCUCCAUCUUCUCCGGUGAGCAGUGGUUUUCCGGCGCGGUGGCCGGUGGUGGCGCCGCCGCGCCGGAGUUUUAAAACUCCUCUGUUUCAAAAAUUUUUUACGUUUUCUUACAUCCUUUUUCUUCUAUUUCUCGAAUCUGAGCUUAGUUUUUUGAAAAAGAAUUUCAACCGGAGUAGAUCUGAGUUUGAAUCUUGACAAAAAAAACUUAAGAAAACGGAAAGGAAAAGAGGGAGAACGACGGCGGUUACCUCACGGUUGCGAUGACUCUUGGCUUGGCGUCGUUGCUUCGUGUUUGCGUUUCUGUUGUUUCGCGUUCUGCUGCUGUGCUUCGUGUGCUGUUUUGCUUGCUGUUUUUCGGUUUCUUCUUCUUCCUUGCAGAUUCGGUUCCCUCUUCUUCUCCCACCGUGAUCGGUGCUUGAGUUCUUCACUUCCGGUGAGGAAUUCGCACCUUGUAUUGCGGUGGAAUCGAUUCGAUGAUGAAGAUUCGUACACGAAUCUCUGAGAAUUGAUGAUGAAUUUUCGGUUAGGGUUCUUGUGUUCUUGGUGAAUCUGUUUUCUUUGAUCUAACAGAAUGGAGAGAGAAAAUGGGAAUUCGUUUUUUGGUGAUGUGUAUUGUAAUGAGUGGAUCUGAUCUAUGUGGCACUGUGAACAGUAUUUAUAGCUGACAUGUGUGAGUGAUUGGACCAAUAGGAAACUGACAUGUGGCAUUGGACUUGUGAUUUGGGCGCUGCCUUGUAAUUUUGGACUUUGAGGACCUCCCUGCAAUUUUGUAAAAUAUGGAACUGGACUGCAAUUUUAAAAACAGAACUCAAAAUAUAAAAAAUUGGACAAUUUGGACUUAAAUGCAAUUUUAACAAAAUUAAGGGACUACAAUGCAAAGUAAAAAUAAAAUGAAUUAAAAUUUGUAAUCUUGACCAAACGUAAAGUGAACCUAAAUAAAACCAACAAACGGACUAAAACGAACCAAUGGCCUAAAUGAGGUACUUCAAAGUAACCUCCCUAUGCCAAAAUUUUGUGUGAAAUGACCAAAAUGCCCCUAGGGCUAAAAAUGACCUAAACAGAUUGAAAUUGACUUAACACUGACUCAGACGCAAGUUUGAAAUGAAUUUAACAAGGUUUACUGAUGAAAUAAAAACAAUCUGAAAAGACUCAGAGACAGUUACAAGGAUGAAAAUGGGUCCCACUGCAGGAAAUGACCAAAAUACCCUUCUGUAUGACUUUUUGCAAAUUUUGAAAUAAACUGUAGAAAAAGCAAUGCAAUGAUUCAGAGACACUUUUGAAUGACUUACAAGACAAGUAAAGACAUUUCGAAAGGUUUUAUGCAAGAAAAACAUAGGUAAGAUUGUGAUUGAAAAUACUGCGAGGCAGAGACAAUUUGAACUGUGCCGUUGAAAUUUGACAAUUGACAAAGUUUGAAAUGAAAUUGGGCCCAGUAUUUUUAGGUCCAAAAACAGGGUAUAACACAACUCAAUUUGGGAAAAGGUGGUUUGUGAUCUUUAUUUAUGAUCAUACUCAGCUAUGUUGGGUCUAUCUUAUGAAGGAUAAAUCUGAAGUACCAGAGAUAUUUAAAUGUUUUUCAAAAAUGAUAGAAACUCAAUUUGAUGCAAAAAUCUCCAUUUUGAGAAGUGACAAUGGUACUGAAUAUUUUAAUAAAAACCUCGGAGAGUUUUUCCAACAUAAAGGCAUUCAACAUCAAUCAACAUGCCCAAAUACGCCUCAACAAAAUGGCAUAGCUGAAAGAAAGAAUAGACAUCUUCUUGAGGUAGCUCGUGCCAUUAUGUUUUAGAGCAAUGUUGUAACGCCCUAUUUCUAUUAAAGUGAUAAAACACGCGAGUAAUAUAAAUAUUCAAGUAAUAGACGCCACGUCUUCAAUAAAAUCCAAAACAACAUGCAUGUAUAAAUAUUCUCAACAGUUGCAGCGGAUAUAAACCAUACACCUCAAAGUAUACAUGCCAUGAGAUCAAAUACAUCAUCAUCAAACUCUCCAAAACAUAAAUACAUCCAGGAUAGACAAUCUAAGAUAAAUCAUAAGACCGGCACCUAGAUCAGAGCCUAUCCUAGACUCUAAGGAAACCGAUACCGGAGAUAGCUCCUGAUAUCCAAGCAAGCACCAAGCAACUCAUCAAAACAACUAAUCAUGCACGUCGUCUACUCAUCCAUACAGACAGAUAGGCGGUCAAAACCACUGGGGGUAAGCUUUACAUCAAUCAUAAUCAAUAAAAUAAAUUUAAACAUACGUGGAUCAUUUCAAGUUCCAAAUAAUUAACAUGAAUAUUUAAUCUCAAUAAUAAUUCAUAAUGAUAAAUCCAAAUAUCACAACCAAUCACUCACAUCCACAAGUAUGUCAAUUAUUUCACAUUUAGGACUCAUGCCACAAUAUGGUAUGUCCCUAGACAUGACACAUAAAUUACCUAUGCUACUUAAAAUCUCGUGUUACAGCUUCUUUCAAAACAAAAAAACCUCGUGUUACAUCUUUCAUUGGUCUUCCCCAUCCUACUUAAAAUCUCGUGUUUCAUGGGGUCAUAUUUCCUUAUUCUUUGUCUCUUUCAUAUCGUCUCUUGUCGUAGAUAUUAUGAUUUUCUUUAUGAAGUUCCUGCAAAAAUGUACAACUAGUAAUUAUACAAUGAAGUACUAUCAUGAUUUUCUUUAUUAAAUUUUACCCUACAACCCCAAACAAAACGGUAAGGGUUGAUUUAAUCAACAGACUUAAUUACAUGUACGAAGCGGUAAGACUUAAUUUCAUAUAAUAAUUAUAGCCUAACAAAUUCUAACACAAUAAUAAUCCAUUUGAAAAGCAACCUGGUAUUAAACUCCACAAAAUUCUCAACCUAAUUCAUUGGAAGAGGAUGGUAAAAUGGGUUGGUUCCAUCGAGUUGACCCAUUUAACCCGUCAUUUUUAGUAGAGUGGGUUGAGAUUUUGAGCCUGCCAUUAGUAGAGUGUCCGCUCCGCCUAACCCGUUAAAAAGCGGGACGGUACAGAUUGACCCGUUGAGUUGAUAUAUUAAAAAGAAACUCUUAUUUUCACUUCUUUUUAUAUAUCAGUCACAAUAAAAUUUUAGAUUUUCUCCUCCGUAUAGUGGAGAAAAAAAUUCAAUUAAUUUUAUCACUUUUGUUUCAUGAUUUUAGCUUCAUAUUUUUUACUGUUAGUCAAAUAAAAACUCAUGAAGUUUUUAUUUUGAAUAUCUUAUUGAUCUAUUAUAGUUUUUUAGAUGAUGUAGUUUAUAUGUUAGAAUGAUUAUUUUAAUUUUUUUAGUGGAGUCAAUAGUUUAGAUAUUUAGAUUUCUUAUAACUUUCAAUUUUUUUUAGUUUAUCACUUCCAAGCAUAAAACUAAUUCACUAGAUAUUACAAAUAAAAAACAUCAUUUGUUUCCUCUUUCUUUUCCUUAUCAUCUGAUUUCAUUCACUUUUUAAAUUAUCCAAAACAUGCUCAGUUUUUUUUUUACAAAAAAAAAAAAUAAAAAAUAAAGGAAAACAAGCUAUUAAAUUAUAAGAAAAUGCAACCAAUGUAUUAUGAUAUAAAUAUAGGAAAACAAUUUAUUCUACUCUUUUAUAAGUAUAAGAAAAUUGUUAAUUCUCAUAUUUAUUAAUCUCUUAAUCUCACUAAUUCUCAUAUAAAAAAAUUAAUAGAAACACAACAUUAAUGUUGAUAUUUUUUAAACAAUCAUUAGUUUUCAAAAUUUAAGCAUAUAAACUUUCGCAUAUCAGUAUACAUAAAAUUUGAUUUUGGAGAUAUAAACACAUAAAAUCUGCAAUGAAUGCAAUACAAAUAUUUAACAGUGUUUUAAAUAUAAAAUAAAAAUUUAUUUAAUAGAAACACUACUAUAAUUUUGAUAUUUUUAAAAAUAGUCACGAGUUCUCAAAAUUUUAUCACUCUACCACAAGCUCCCAUACUAUAUUUUUCUAACAAAGCUAUCAAAGUUAUGUUCGGUCAUUCACGGGACAUAGUAAUACACAUGUUAGACAAACCCUUUUUUAAACGGUCAUGCUAAGUUGUGCUCUUAGGGCACAAGUUAAGAACCUAAAAAGAGAAUUAAAAUAUAACUUUUUUUAUUGAAAAGAUAAAAUUUUAUAAUUUUAAUACAUUGAAUACACAAUUUUCACAAAAAAGUUUUUAUGUGUAGUUACUAAACUUAUUCCUCAAGGGAAAAAGUACAAUACGGCUUCUACAAUCUCACCGUGUUUGGUAUAUAUGCAAUUGACUAAGUAAUGAUGUUUUCUAUUAAGGAUAUAUCAUAUAUGUAAUUGACUAAUUGUCGCUUUCUUUAUUAGCAAUAUUACUUACAUUUAUAUUUCUAUUGUUGUCGCGUCUGUUUAGUGUCUCUUUGUUUGUUGAGAACGAUGCUAUUGUUGAUUGUUGUGUGAAGGCAAUUUUAUUGUUGUGACUUAUCGUUUUUCUAUGCCUGUUUGGUCUAGGUUUUCCGCCUUUUUUUUUUUUUGCUUGAGUUUUAGUCCAUAUUUUGUAUUUUGAAUAUUAUUUUUUUUGGUACAAACUGUAUUUUCAGUUUUAAUAAGUAGUUUAAAUUUAAUUUUUUAUUGAAGUAUUCCAAUCGUAUUGUAUCUUAAAUUUUAAAAAAUUUCCGUAUGAAUGUUGUAUCGUAUCAUGUAUCUAGGCUUCAUAUGCGAAUAGGUAGUCACACGGUUUGACUCUUUAAAACGAAUGUGGGUUCGUCUUUGUUCUUACAAGCCUGUUUGAGAACGUGAAACAAUGUGAGAGCUAAUAUCAUGAAUAGUUUACUCUUUUUACUACAUAACCAUUUAACAAAAUUUCUUUUUAAAAGAAAAAAAAUUAACAAUCAGCAUUACGUAAGCUUGGUUGACCAAUCUAAUCAAUAGCUAAGCUUGUUGCUGCAUGUAGUCUAUAAAAGGAGAAAAAUAUAUGUUAUUGAUAUAACACCACUUCAUCAUUAUCAAGCCAUUAGAUACAGCCUACUCAUAAUUCACUAUGAGAGCACACAUAGUCUUUUUGCUUUUCUUUAUACCAUUCAGCUUAAUCAUUUCCAGCUCAAAUAAGUUUUUGGUCAAUGGCUACUGUCAUGGCCAUGAACAUUCUUUGUUGCUCCAAUUGAAAAACAGUCUGAUAUUCAACCCCACAAAAUCUUCAAAGCUAGUUCAUUGGAACCAAAGUGAUGAUGAUUGUUGCCAAUGGCACGGGGUGACAUGUAAACAGGGACAUGUUACAGUCCUUGAUCUUAGUCAAGAGUCUAUCUCCGGAGGACUUAAUGAUUCAAGUGCUCUUUUCAGCCUGCAAUAUCUGCAGAGUCUGAAUUUGGCUUUUAAUCACUUUCGUUCUGUGAUUCCGCAAGACUUGCAUAGGCUACAUAAUUUGAGGUAUUUAAACUUGUCUAAUGCCGGCUUUAAGGGACAGGUUCCGGAGGAAAUUUCUCACCUCAAAAGGUUGGUCAUUCUUGAUUUUUCUUCUAAAUUUAUUUCACUGCAGAACUUAAAACUUGAGAAGCCAAAUAUAGGAAUGCUUGUGCAAAACCUUACAGAUAUUACAGAAUUAUAUCUAGAUGGUGUUGCAAUAUCAGCUAGGGGAGAGGAAUGGGGUCAUCCUUUAUCUUUAUUGAAGGGGCUUCGUGUUUUGAGCAUGUCAUCAUGCAAUCUCUCUGGACCUAUUGAUUCUUCACUAGCUAAGCUUCAAUCACUUUCAAUUGUAAAAUUGAGCCAAAAUAAAUUGUUUACAACUGUGCCAGAUUGGUUCAGAAAUUUCUCCAAUUUAACCAUCCUACAACUCAGUAGUUGUACCUUGAAAGGUUUUUUCCCAAAAGAUAUCUUCCAAAUACACACAUUAAAAGUCCUUGACAUGUCAAACAAUCAAAACCUUUAUGGUUCUUUGCCAGAUUUCCCACCAUUCGCAUAUCUUCACUAUUUAAAUCUCAACAAUACAAAUUUCUUAGGACCACUUCCAAAUACUAUCUCCAAUCUGAAGCAGAUAUCAACCAUUGAUCUAUCUUACUGCAAAUUCAAUGGAACGAUUCCCAAUUCAAUGUCAGAACUCACCCAACUUGUUUAUUUAGACAUGUCUUCCAAUAACCUCACAGGUCCACUCCCUUCGUUCAAUAUGUCCAAGAACCUCACAUAUUUAUCCUUAUUUCUCAAUCAUUUGAGUGGGGAUUUACCAUCCAGCCAUUUCGAGGGUCUUAAAAAUCUUGUCAUCGUUGAUUUAGGGUUCAAUUAUUUCACAGGAAACAUUCCCUCCUCUCUAUUAAAGCUUCCAUACUUACGAGAACUUAUGCUUCCCUUUAAUCAACUCAGUGGUGUCUUGAGUGAAUUUGAUAAUGCAUCUCUUCCUGUAUUGGAGAUGCUUGAUUUGGGAAGCAAUAACUUACAAGGACAUGUUCCUUUCUCUCUCUUUAACCUUCGAACACUUCGUGUCUUUCAACUUUCUUCCAACAAGUUUAACGGCACAAUACAGUUGAAUGUCCUUCAAAGGCUACGGAAUUUAAAUGUACUAGGCUUAUCACAUAACAAUCUGUCAAUUGAUGUCAACUUCAGAGAUAAUCAUGAUUUGUCACCGUUUCCAGAGAUAAAAGACCUUAUGUUGGCUUCCUGCAAGUUAAAGGGAAUCCCAAGUUUUUUAAGAAACCAAUCCAAAUUACUAUUUCUUGACCUAUCUAGCAAUGGUAUUGAAGGGCCGAUACCUAACUGGAUUUGGAAACUUGAAUCUCUCCUUAGCUUGAAUCUUUCCAAGAAUUCUCUGACUAACUUUGAAGAAAGUAUUUGGAACUUGAGUUCUAACCUCUAUUUGGUUGAUCUUAGUUUUAACAAGUUGCAAGGGCCUAUUUCUUUCAUUCCAAAGUAUGCUUUUUAUUUGGACUACUCAAGCAACAAGUUGAGCUCUAUCAUACACCCAGACAUCGGAAACUAUCUCCCUGCAAUAAAUAUAUUGUUUCUUUCAAACAAUAGUUUUAAGGGAGAAAUAGACGAGUCCUUGUGUAAUGCUUCAAGCCUACGCUUGUUGGAUCUCUCCUACAACAACUUUGAUGGGAAGAUUCCUAAGUGUUUUGCAACCCUGAGUAGCAAACUGAGGAUGUUGAACUUUGGAGGUAACAAGCUUCAUGGUCAUAUCCCUGAUACUAUAUCUCCAAAUUCAUGUGCACUGAGAUAUUUGAAUCUAAAUGACAAUUUAUUGGACGGUAGCAUACCAAAAUCUUUGGUCAAUUGCAAUAAACUUCAAGUCUUAAACCUUGGAAAUAAUUUUUUAAGUGACAGAUUUCCAUGUUUCUUAAGCAAUAUUUCCAACCUGCGAAUCAUGAUUUUAAGGUCAAAUAAGAUGCAUGGAUCUAUUGGAUGCCCAAAUAGCACUGGUGAUUGGGAGAUGCUUCAUAUUGUUGAUCUAGCCUCCAAUAACUUCAACGGAACAAUACCAGUUGCCCUAUUAAAUAGUUGGAAGGCAAUGAUGCGUGAUGAAGGCGUUCUUAGGAAAGAAUUAGGCCAUUUGUUUUUUGACAUCGAUGAUAACUUCCAUCCUAUGAGUUUCAAGGCUUUGUUACCAGAUUUGGACAAACAUGUGUCAAUGAAUUUGAUUAAACUCCUUGCAAACAUGUCUCGCUCUAUUAUUGACCAGGAGUAUGCUAAAUUUAAAAUUCUUGCUCGUUAUCAGGAUACAAUUAUUAUUGUCAACAAAGGUCAGCAAAUGAAUGUUGUCAAAAUUCAAAGUACCUUCACUUACGUUGAUAUGUCAAGCAACUAUUUGGGGGGGCCAAUACCUGAUGUGUUGAUGCGAUUCAAAGCAUUGAAUGCUCUAAACUUGUCACAUAAUGCAUUAACGGGACAUAUACCAUCAUCAGUGGAGAAUUUAAAGCAUCUUGAGUCUAUGGACUUGUCAAACAACUCCUUGAAUGGAGAGAUUCCUCAAGGGCUUUCAAGUCUAUCUUUCCUAGCAUAUAUGAAUCUCUCGUUCAAUCACCUAGUUGGACGAAUUCCUUUGGGUACUCAAAUUCAAACAUUUGAUGUAGAUUCCUUUGCAGGGAAUGAAGGAUUGUGUGGACCUCCACUGACCAAGAUAUGUGAACCUCCACAACCAGCAUCUGAAACACCUCAUUCCCAGAAUGAGAGUUUCGUUGAAUGGAGUUUCAUAAGUAUUGAGUUGGGAUUUUUUUUUGGCUUUGGAGUUUUCAUCCUUCCUGUUUUUUGUUGGAAGAAAUUGAGGUUGUGGUAUUCCAAACACGUAGAUGAAAUGCUUUACAGGUUCAUCCCCCGGCUAGAUUUUGUGUAUGAACAACAUGAAGGGAAGAGAUACAAAACUCUAAAGUGGAUGUACUGACUAUUGGACUCUUAGCUUGGGUCUUGCACUCUUCAAUUUUAUGUGUUUGUAUUUCCUCACCUUUCUUUGUUUAAAAGCUAUAGUAUAAAAAUAAAGAGUCACUGUUAGCAAGUACUCGUGAACAUUACCGUUGUUAAAGCCGAAGGAGUCUGCGAGUCACUGUUAACAAGUCCUCUUGAACAUUACCACUGCAGUUAGUUUGUUAUCUAUUUUUAGAAAUAACCACUCUGUAUUUGAGUGUCUGCUACUAUUUCAGUUUUAUAUACCAGUUAUAUUAUAUGUACUUCAAAAGUUAGUUUAACACUAUGAAUUUUUCUAAUGUCUUUGCUGCUAUUUCUGUUACUACUUUGUGGUUGUUCUAUUCCAUGGAUUCUUAUUUAUUGUAGGUUACUUCAUAGUUCUGUGAUUGAGUUGUAUCUUGUUCUAUAUGCAUCUACUGCAAACUUAAUAUUUCCUUGCUCCUUCACAGUUUCAUAGAUUAAUAUUAGUUCUUAGUAGUAGAAUAAUGCUUAAUUUUUCAAUGGCUUCUUAUUUGCCUUUUUAGAACUUCAAAAUGUUAAUAAGUUACUAUGAAGCACGGACACUCCUUGGAUAAGGUGUGUCCCUGUGUCAGACACGUGUCGUGUCCGACACUGACACGACACCGAUACAUAUAAUUACACUGCAUUUUGUGAUUUUCUAAAAAAAUUAGCUGUGUCGGCGUGUCCGUGUCCGUGUCGUGUCCGGUGUCCACUGUCUUGUACUGUGUCCCUUAUAUUUCUUCGCCAAUUUUUGCUCGUCCUCAGCCAUCAACAGUAUACAAAACACGCAUCUAUCUAUCUAUCUAUCUUAAUUUAGACCCCAGAUUACUUAUGCUGCCACUUAUUCUAUCUUGCGCCACAUCGCCCAAAAUUCUCAAUGGCCAUCUCCAUGAUCUCCCAAUGCAUAAUCUAUCACAUGCUCCUCAUUUCUUAUUUAUUUGCUAAAAAACGAAAUGUGUUCCUUUGUUGGAAGUUACUCUUUUUCCUGAUCAGUUACUUUCUUUCGUUGUUACUCUACCUUACUCUUCCACUAGGUAUCUAACCCGUGCGUUGCACGGGUUUUGAUUAUAAUAUUUUCUUUAAUAUAUUGGAAAUAAUAAUUUUUUUUAUCUUCCUAAAAAAACAAAUUUUAUUGGUCUAUUGAACUUUUUUUAUUUAAAAUAUACAACUGUCAAAAUAUUUUUAAACUUUUUCCCACAUAAAGUGAAUAUUGAAUAUAGAUAAUGUGUCACCCAUUUGUGUUAGAAAUCACUUGAAUUAUUAUAUCUUUUUCUCUUGUUUAGUUUAUAACUUCAUUUUCUCCUUUAUUUGUACAUAUUUUAGAUUUUAGAAGAAAAAAAAUUGUCGAUGUUGAAUUAUAAUUUGAUAUUAUAAAAUUUUUAUUCUAACUUGAAUCAAAUAAAUGAUUUUAUUUAAAUGAAAUAACUCAAUUUAUAAAAAAUCAAAUGUUUUCAUAUAUAUCAUUGUAUAGUUUUUAGUAAAAAUAUUACUCCCUCCAUUUUUUUAUGUGUCGUUAGAUGUUUGAUUAUUAUAAAGUAAAUAUAAAAGUUUAUAAUUGAUAACAAAAAUAAGGAGUUUUAUAGAGAUGACAUAUCAGAGCAACCACAUCCAUGCCACCCAAAUGGAUGGUAUAAAUGGGAUCCACAUAAUAUAUUAUAUUACUUUACACUUCCCAAUUAUUUAACUCACUCAACUACAUUUUCUAAAUAUUCAUACCACUCCUCUAAAACUCUAAAAUGGGUCUUAUUUAUCUUACAAUAACAGUAUACCUUAAAUACCAACAUUAUACUAAUUAAUAAUCUCACCUAUCAAUUGAUAAAAAUAAUCAAAAGUAAUCUUUUGUCACUUAAAAGUGGGUGGUACUGCAUUACCACUCUCUUGAGCUUUGCUACUUGCUUGCAUGCCAAAUAUCAGUUGCUUUCUGACACAUUUUCAUUUGGCCAAGUUAUACCACGGUAUUUUUGCACCGAUAAUUAUGCUCUUAAUUAGUAGUAGAAUUUUAUCUCUAUAAAAGAAAAGCAGUAUAGUUUUGUAAAGUUGCCACAUAAGCUAGAAAAGGAUUUGACUACGAAAUAGAGAAAUUCAUACAUGAAUGAACUCAAGUAAAACGUGUGAAUGACAUAUAUAUCACUGACCAAUUAGAGAAUUUAAAGAAUUAGUACUUAAUAUCUAACCUUUUAGGAAAUAAAAUUUUGUUGCCUACAAUAAUAAUUCCACAAAGUGUUCAAAUUCUAAAAAUAAGAUCACUAACAUUGUUAAAAAUUUAAAGUACAAAAUAGAAGAACAAAUCUGAUAAAAAAAAAAAAAAAAGACUUCUUGAGUGUUCAAAACAUAAGAAAAGAGUGGAAGACAUAAGAGCCAUCAAUUUGAUUGAAGAGAUAGAGUGAGGAAAAAAAGUGAACGGAUCCUCUCCCUCUGUAAUCUCUGCAGUAGCCUCUCAAUCUAUUGAACCAACCAUUAGAUACCUCCAAUGGAUGAUAGGGAAAGACAAUAAAAUUUUGAAAAAACAAUCUUGAAAUAUUCCCAAAUUGAUUUCGUGCACGUAAAUUGUCUCACCGUCCUAGCUUUGAACAACACUACCUCAAUAGAACAUUGAUUGGAUUUCUCCAAAGAGACCUACUAAUGAAUUUAAGUUUAGACUUCUUAUUCCUUAAAUACCCAUAAGGAGUUUCCUUCUCAAAGAUUGAUGAAUCCUCAUAUAUAACAGGUUCUUUGAUAUACUGAGGAAGAAGGGCCAAUUUGUUUUCCAUCAUAGAUUGAUUAUUCCAAUGAAAUUCAAUCUAUCCAUUUUUAAUUUCAAUAAUUCCUCAAUCUUAAAAACAAAUAGCUUACACAGUUAUUUAUUAAAAAAUAUAAUAGCUUACACAUGGGUGAAGAUCCUCUCCAUUUGACAAAAUAAAUGGAGUUUUGCAAGUUGGAGAGAGAUAGACACAAAAAUAGAUUGUGGGUCCUACCACUAAGUGGGUCCCACCAUCAUUAAUUAUAUUUUACUUUUUUUUAAAGAUUUUAUGUGUCUUUAUCUGUCCAAAUUGAAGAAAUGGAGAAACACAUAAAUUGAGAGGAUUCUAACCCGUAUUAUAUAUACAAGGUCUAAGGUUCAAACCUCGGUCAGCAUAAAAAAAAGCAACUCUCUCCAUUCUAAUUUUUUUUUUGAAGGACUCUCCAUUCUAAAUUAUACUCCAUCCAUCUCUAUAUGUAAACACCUAUUUGACUAAAAAUUUGUCCCUAAAUGUAAGCUCCUUUUUAAAUUACUAGAUGCAUUUUUUUUUUAAUACACAUAUCCCUAAUUAAUAUACUACAAACUUAUCUUGAAAUAUUAAAAGUCAAAUUUAAUACACAUACAAACAAAACACAAUUUGGUAAUAUUAACAAACAAAAUAGACACAUUAUACACAAACAACUUUUCUUAAGAAAUGUGAAAGAAGCAAAGAGAGCUUACAUACAGGGACGAAGGGGUAUCUCUUUUCUUUUUUUUUUACUGAAUUCUAAAUUAUAUCCCAUUCUAAUAAAAUUUGUUUUUUAAAUUCUUUUAAUUUAUGUUUUUCAAACUAUUAAUAAAUGAUAAUUUUUGUUUUUCAUACUAUUGAUAAAUGAUAUUUUUAUAAAAUAACACAUAAGUACUCUUUUUUUUAUACAAUAUUAACUAUUUUUUUAAUUUAUGCAAAAUUUCUAAAGUAAAAUAUAAUUUUGGACUGAAAAAGUACAAUAAUUGGUGAAAGAGUCAACAUUUGAACCUUUCUCUUUAGGCUUAAUACAUCUCUUGGUCCCUUAACUUAUUUUAAUUUUUCAGUUUGGUCCCUUAACUAUUAAAUGUUUCAAUUUGAUCCUUAUCUUUGUUUUCGUCAUCAAUUUGGUCAUAUUUUAUUAAUUUUAAAUCCCUAAAAAAGUAGACCAUUGAAUCAAGGAAGUUCAUCAUAUCUUACCGUGUAUCACCAACACUUAAGUAUCUGGAAUUUAAUUUUUAAAAAUUCAAAAUAAAUUAAUUAAUUUUAAAAAAUUGAAAAUUAAUUUUCGAAAAUUAAAAAAUUCUGAAAAAAUUCAGGAUUUUUUUUAAUAAAAAAUCUGGAAAAAUACUUUUAAUUUCGAAAGAAAAAUCUGAACUUUUUUGGAAUAUAUUUUCUAAUAAUUAGCCAAAAUCGAUUUUUGAUAAUUAUAAUUCAGAUUUUUUUUCAAAAUUAAAAAGAUUUUAAAAAAUUCUGAAAUUUAAAAUACACCAAAAGCAAAAAUUCAAAAUUUUUAAAAAAAGGUCAGAUUUUUUUUCAAAAAAAAAGUUUUUAAAUUUUAAAAAUCUGGAUACCAAUUUAGAAAAAAAAUUAUUUUAAAAUCACGAUUAUUUUAAAAAUCAUUUUUUCUACGAAAUUAUGAAGAUUUUACGAUUUUGGCUAAUUAUAUACUUCGAAAAAGUUCAUAUUUUUCUUUCGAAAUUAAAAGCCAUUUUCCAGAAUUAUUUUAAAAAAAAUCUUCAAAAAAAAAAAAAAAUCCUGAAUUUUUUCAAAUUUUAAAUUUUUUUUUAUUUUUGAAAAUUAAUUUUCAAAUUUUUUUAUUUCUAAAUUAAUAUAAAAUAAUUUUUAUUAUUUUUAAAAAUUAAAUUUCGGAUACUUAGGUGUUGGUGAUACACGGUUAGAUAUGAUGAACUUCCUUUAUCCAACGGUCUUCUUUUUUAUGGAUUUCAAAUUAAUAAAAUAGGACCAAAUCAAUGACGAAAACAAAGAUAAGGACCAAAUUAAAAUAGUUAAUUAAAGGACCGGGAGAUAUAUUAAACCUUCUCUUUAAUACUUGAAUUAUAUACUAUCAUAUAUUCUUAUCACUUUAAAUACCCUACAUGAGUUAGUGGCAAGUGACUGACCUAUAUUUCUUCAUGCUGACUUGGUAAUACAGUUAUAAUUUUGGUCAAGUGUAUAAUUUAUACUCCUCAUUCUUUGUUUUGAAAUAUGGAAAUUCAAUUAUAAAUAUAUAUAUACCCUUCGGUCACUAAUAUGAGCAAAAAUCAAUUUUUUAGAUACAUUCAAUUAAUGAUGUAUGUGACAUAUAAUAAAGACCACAUACAUCAUUAAUUCAAUGUAUCUAAAAAGUAAAUUUUUGCUUAUAUUAGUGAUCGGAGGGUGUACACUUUAUAUGUCACUAUUAUACAUAAACAUUCUUUUUUCAAAUUAUUGAAUAAUUAAUGUAUUUAGUCUUUAUUAUAAAAUCGAUAGAUCAAUUGUUCAAUAAAUUUCAAAAGGGAAUAUUUGCUUAGACCAUCCACAAUGGUGUUUCACCUAUUUAGCACCGAGCUAAAUAGGCACCCCAUUGUGGAGUGAUAUUUAUUGGUGCUUAUAUACAAGGGUGUUUAUAUAAGGACCUUCUCUCUCUUCAUUUUUGUGUGUGAAUUUCGUUUAAUAUUUUCUAAUAAAAUAAAUGAGUGUUUAAGAGAUGUAAUAAUAUAGAGUUAUUAGUGAGACCUAUUAGUAAAUUUUGUUGUGGUGCUGGGCUGAAUGAAUUGGGUGCUUAUUAGGUAUUGACAUUAAAAAUUUAUAAAAUAAAUGAUGUGUACAUGUGUGGCCCACUUAAGUACCCAACUAGAGGAGCUCCAUUGUGGAUGGUCUUAUAACAAUAACCGUAGAAAACAUACACAAAGAAAUAACUUAGUAAUGAAAAAUGCUACAAAAUAUCCUUAAAACAUUGGUUAAGUGUACAAAAAUAAAAAUAUUAUGUUUGUUUCCUCUUUUGCACCAAAAAAAAUUAUGUUAAUACCACUGCUCUGAUUUUCUUAACAAAUGCUCUUUUUUUUAUUUGGUCUUGGUUGGGGUCCGUAACAAAUGCUUGAACAUAUUUUUUUGUUAAAUUUUUUCAGGGUUUGUAUGAACGGUCAACGAGGAUGGAAUCACGCUGCAAUAAAGUGUGGUUCAUCUAAGGGUCAUGUGAGUCAGUGUGGUUCUUAGCUUGGCCUGUCUAGGGGUAAGUUUGAGUACCCCCCACCUCCCUCAAGGGCAUUGUUUUUUUCUUCCCGCCCUCCGCUUCCCUCCUUCUCCGGUUUUCCUCCAAUAGGCAAACUACUAGUAUGUCCUAUCACAUACUAGUGGUUAGGCUCUUAGAAGAUUAGAAUUAAAUUUAGGAUCUUAUGUAAUAGGCUUAAAAAGCUUGAAAAUUAUUGUAAUGUAUUGUUCAUAUAUUAAUAAAAUGAGUUGUUUUUAUGUUUGUGUCUUUUUAUUUCUGUUUUUUAUUUUAUUCGCAUUUUAUUUUACGAAUUGUAAAGCUUAAAAUUGCAAAAGUUCUGGUAAAACAUUAUUCCGGAUUUUCAAAUCCGGAAACAUCUGCAAAAUUCUAACAAUGAAAUCCGGAAUACAAAAUCCGGACUAGGGGUAAAAAAACAGAUUAAAUUCAAAUAAAAAUAAUUAAAAAAUAAUAAUGUCAAACAAUCAACACUACUACUAAUAAUAAUAAUAAUAUUAUGGGUUAAUGGUGUUUUACUCCCCUGUAAUAUAGGUCAUUUUUUGUUUUCCUCCUGUAAUUUUUUUUUUGAUUUACCCCCUGUAAAAUAUUUCUUUUUUGGAAUACCCCUUGUAAAAUAUUUCUUUUUUGGAAUACCCCCUAAUAGGUCAUAAAAAAGCGACUUUAUUUUUUUUUUUUGCAGAAUUUUUUCGUUUUUUUAUGACCUAUUAGGGGGGUAUUCCAAAAAAUAUAUAUUUUAUAGGGGGGUAAAUCAAAAAAAAUAUUUUACAGGGGGAAAACAAAAAAUGACCUAUAUUACAGGGGGUAAAGCAUCAUUACCCUAAUAUUAUCUAAUAAGUAUAUUAAUAAAAUUAUAUUAAAAAUCAGGUGUUAACUAAACCGACGUUGGCACAUCGUGUUCAAAUGAAGUCAAUAUACAAAUAUCCAACAGUUUCUCUUCAAGACUAGGUUGUCUGCCUCGAAUUCUUGCUUAUUCACUUUCUUGAUUUCUGCUUCUUUAGUCCUACAUUGCAUCUGAUUUCUUCAACAAAAUCUAGGUCUUUGCAAAGGCUUUCGUCAUUUGUUUUGAUGUCUAUAGGAGCUGUUGCUCUCCAAUUGAGUAUGUUUAGUUCAAUGGAAAUAACAGAUUCGGUUCAGUAAGUUAAAUGGAAUGGAGAUUCUUCAGUGGUCGAGUGGAGGGUGUGGUUUGAUAUGUCCAUACUACUGAAUGGAAUUCUUUGACCUAGUUUUCCAUUGCAUCAUCAAAAACACAAAGCCAACCACAAAUAGGUCGUGAGACUAAUUAGAGCAAAGAGAUGCGUGGAUGUUGAAUAACACACUAGAUGCAAAACACUUGUCUCGAAAACCCAAAUCAAGCAACAAACACAUAUCUAUAAACUUUGACAAUUUAAAUAUAUGGUUAAUGAAGUUCAAUUAAUGGUUAAUGAAAUCAUUAAGGGGUCAUGACUCGUGACUCAUUAACCAUCAACUGCACACAAUUGACCAUUACUUAAAUGCCAUUAACCAUGAUUUGCAAGUGUACAUUAGAAUAUUUUUUUUUGACCGACAGUGUACAUUAGAACAUAAAUAUACAAUGAGGUUGGUUGGCCUGGUGAGGUUGUUGGUGAUAUAUUAGACCUGUGUGUGUUUUAGUAAACUGUUGACGGAGGAGGACGAGCAAAACUUGGCAAAGAAAUAUAAGGGACACAAUGCUAUUUAGAAGUUUUCUUUAAUCUUCCAAAUGCAAAAGAAGGAUAGUCUUCUAACUUGAAUGUGGAGUUUGUUUUUAUUCGUAAUACAAAAUCCCCCUAAUUUAGGGGUAACCAAGAAAUGGAGUGAAUUUAAAAUAUCUGAAUCCGUGUUUAAGUUUCUAACAACGUUUUGUUGUCAUCGUUGUUUGAUUCAUUAGAACAAAUUGCAGAGAGACAGAUGAAGUAUACAAACAACUACUAUUUAUUUAACUUAAAUUAAGUAGAGAUAUAAGCACACACUCGAUUUCAGACAGUGAUUAUUCAUUGCUGAAUCUACAGGUUUCUUAGGCUUCAAGGAUAACAAUAUGACAAGCAAAAUAGUCGGAUUAAAGAGGCAAUGUGAACAAGGGAAGAAUAAAAAUGAUGCAUCGAGACUCGAGAUAUUAUUUGCUUGCAGCCCUGGUGAGAUUCUUAUUAAUGAACUUCCAUGUUUCCCUGAAGUUACACGUAUGUAUAUGCUAACCAUCAUUUCACUUGGAACACUUUUCUAUUCAGACACUAAAACUUUAUAAUGAAAAGAGUAAGUAAUUUUCUUACACUUGCUGCCUCUCAUUAGCUGCUUAUAGGGCCACGAUCGAAAACAUGCCAUGUAAGUAAGAACACAAGGACCAAAUUAACACUAAAACAAAAAUGAUAAUGAAAGAUAACUAUGUUUUGGUUAAUAGCAACGGUUUUCUGAAUUUUCUCCAUGCUGACUUUCUUAACAAUUGUAAGAUCAAUAAAUCAGUCAUAAAAGAAAGGAUUGGUUUGGCAUUAUUUAUUUAUAUUAUUUAAAAUGUAGCUGAUGAAACAAAAAAGUUCAUGAAAAAAUGUACCUUUCAGUGUUAUGAUCAGAAGCUUUUUGCAUCAAAUGACGGUAUAAACUGGGUAAAGUUGUCAUAAAUAUAAAUGGGAAAUGUGUAAACGAGUAUGGUUGUUCCUAUACAAGGAGAGAGUACGCACUCCGAUUUGUAACAGCACACACCGCACACUGAUCUGUGUUCUCUUCUUACGCCGCACUCCGAUAGAUAGAUAUAUACCAGUAAUCUUUUAAACUAGGAAAACUGGUUUUAUAGAUUUGGUCAUUGCUUAUAUAAUAAUGAUCUUGGAAGUAAAAUUUAUCAUAAAUAUAAAACAACUAAGUUCAUUUGGUUGUAGAUUGUUUCAAUGAAGGUUCAUUUCCUCUUGCUUUCUGAAAACCUCAGACUACAGUUCUUCUACUAACCACUAAAUAUUAAUCAAUGAGAUUGCAAAGCAUGACAACAUUAUGUUUGCAGUUCUUUUUAAGGCCUUAUGAGUGAACUUUAAUCCACAUUUCAUUUUCUAACUUUGUGUUGACAUUGCUUCACAAUUAAUGAGAAAUAAUAUGCAAUGAUAAUGUGGCCAAAGUUCAUUCAUAAGGACAAAAUGCAGAGAGAAUGAUGAAACUAAACUAACUUUUGAAGUAGAUAUAUAACUGGUAUAUAUAGAACUGAAAUGGUAGCAGAGAAACUCGCAUACACUUUAAUACAUAGUGAUUAUUUCUAAAAAUAGCUAACAAACUAACUGCAAUUUUAAGCUAUCAGAUAGCUAUCAGAUUCCUUCUGCUUCAACAAUACUAACAUGAGAAGAAAAAGAGUCCUAGUGAACAAGGGAGGAAUACGAAUAAUGGAUCCACACCUGAGUCAUGUUUUGCUUGCACCAUUGAUGUGAGUCCAAUUUAUGGACAUAUAGCUUCGAAACCAAGAGUUAAGCGACUAGUACCUCCACCUUAGAGAUCUACACCUCUUCCCUUCAUGCUGUUCAUACACAAAAUCUAGCUGGGGGAUGAACCUGUGAAGCAUUUCAUCUGCAUGAUUGGAAUACCACAACCUCCAUUUCAUCAAGCAAACAAGGGGGAGGAUGAAAAUUCCAAGGCCAAAAAUAAAUCCCAACUCCACACUUAAGAAAUUCCAAUCAAUUGAACUGUCAUUAUGACAAGGAGAUAACUCGGAUGCUGGUGGUGGCAGCCCUUGCACUCCGCCAUCGUCGCAAUUGGUGGUCAGUGGAGGUCCACAUAACCCUUCAUUCCCUUUGAAGGAGUCUACAUCAAAUGAUUGAAUUUGAGUACCCAAAGGAAUUCGCCCCACGAGGUGAUUGAACGAGAGGUUCAUAUAUGCUAGGAAAGAUAGACUUGAAAGCCCUUGAGGAAUCUCUCCAUUCAAGGAGUUGUUUGACAAGUCCAUACACUCAAGAUGCUUUAAAUUCUCCACUGAUGAUGGUAUAUGUCCCGUUAAUGCAUUAUGUGACAAGUUUAGAGCCAUCAAUGCCUUGAAUUGCAUUAACUCAUCAGGUAUUUGUCCCUCUAAGUAAUUGCUUGACAUAUCCACAUAAGUGAAAGCCGUUUGAACUUUGACAAGCUUCAUCUGAUGACCUUUGUUGACAAUAAUAAUUGACUCCUGAUAACGACCAAGAUCCACAUGUUCUGCGGUCCUGUCAGAGAAUACUUGAUACAGAUCAGAAUGGGACAUAUUUAAAAGAAGUUGGGCCACUUGCUUAGCACAAAAUUUUUCCAUCAUCCGUACUACAUCCUUAAAACCCAUUUGGUGAUAGUUAUCAUAAACUUCAAAAAACAAACUGCCGAAUUCUGGUCCAAGCACGUCUUCGUCACGCAUCAUUGCUUGCCAACUAUUUAAGAGUGCAGAUGAUAUCAUGCCACUGAAGUUAUUGCGUGCUAGAUCAACGAUAUGAAGCAUCUUCCAAUAACCAGUGCUAUUUGGGCAUCUGAUAGACCCAUGCAGCUUAUUUGACCUUAAAACCAUGAUUCUCAAUGUUGGAAUUUUACUUAGAAAACAUGGAAAUCUGCCUGUUAAUGCAUUCUUUCCAAGGUUUAAGACUUGUAGUUCCUUACAAUUGAUCAAGGAUUUUGGUAUAGGACCUCCUAAAAGAUUGUCAUUUAGAUCAACAAACCUUAGUGCGCAUAAAUUUGGAAACAUACUACUAGGAAUUUGACCUCGGAGCUUGUUUCCACCGAAAUUCAACACUCUUAGAUUGCUACUCAGUGCUUCAAAACACUUGGGAAUUUUCCCGAGAAAGUUAUUAUGGGAAAGAUCUAGCAACCUUAGACUAGUUGCAUUACAAAAAGAAUCAUGGAUUUGUCCUUGAAAUUUGUUGUUUGAAAGAAACAUAAAAGUCAUGUAAGGGAGGUGGUUCCCAAUGUCUGGUGGAAUGAUAGAGCUGAAGUUGUUGCUUGAAUAGUCCAAAUAAGCGGCGUACUUUGGAACUAAAGGAAUUGGCCCUUGGAGGUUGUUAUAACUUAGAUCAACAGUGUUAAGGUUAGAACUGAAGUUCGAAAAACUUUCUUCCAAACCUGUAAAAUAAUUAUGGGAAAGAUUCAAGCUAACAAGAGAUUCAAGUUGCCAAAUCCACUUAGGUAUUGGUCCUUCAAUGUUAUUGUCAGCCAUGUGAAUAGAUAAUAUUGUGGAUUGGUUUUUCAAGAAACUAGGAAUUUGUAACAGCUUACAAGAUUCCAAAUCUAGAAUUCUCAUCUUUGGAAAGGAUGACAUGUUAUGAUCAUAUUUGAAGUUGACAUCAACCAAAAGAUUGUUAUAUGAUAGCCCUAAUACAGUUAAAUUACUUAACUUUCUAAUGACGUCCAACUUUACUGUACCAUUAAACUUGUUGGAAGAAAGUUGAAUGAAACGAAGUGUUUGAAGGUUAAAGAUAGAUAAUGGAAUAGGGCCUUGUAAAUAAUUAUUGGACAAAUCUAUCAUCUCCAAUAGAGGUGAAGAAGCAUUGUGAAAUUCACCCAAGAUACCACUAAGCUUAUUAUAGGGAAGCUUCAGUUCUCUCAAACAUGGGAGCUUAAGAACAGAUGAUGGCACACUCCCGUUGAAAGAAUUGAACCCUAAAUUGAUGCUAACAAGAUUUAUGAGGCCCUCAAAAUGAUUUGAUGGUAAAUUUCCACUUAAAUAAUUUCGAAGGAGGGAUAUAUAUCUGAGGUUCUUGGACAUGCUUAAAGAAGGGAGUAAGCCUGUGAAGUUAUUAAAUGACAAGUCUAGAUAAACAAGUUGGGUGAGCUUAGACAUUGAACUGGGAAGUGUUCCAUUGAAUUGGCAGUGAGAUAGAUCAAUAGUCGACAGGUGCUUCAGAUUGGAGAUAGUAUUUGGAAGUGGUCCUGAGAAAUUUGUAUCGGCAAGAUUUAAGUACUUAAGAGAUGCAAGUGUUGAGAAAUCUGGCAAAGAACCAUUAAGAUUUUGAUUGUAUGAUAUGUCAA